rnacentral:lncRNA from 1 species
CGGGGCCUAGUGAGACGCCAUCUUUGUUAGGCACAUAGUAUUUGGAGACAGAAUUCAAACUAUAUAGUCUCCGGGCACCAGAAGCAUCAAGUGAGCAUUCAACAACACUGUAGCUAGCUAGAAGCCUGAGAAUCCGAUCCAGCAUCAUGGGUGCGUCUUUGUUCUUGGUGGUCAACUAGGCUGCAAUAUCUGAAGCAGAGAGCUUUGCACCAGGACCAGCUUUGUCUAUGAUCUCGAAAAUGCCUAGCUCAUACACCGCUUGCAUGGCCAUGGGUAGCACUAUACCCCUCGCCAAUUGAUUAGCAUAUGCAAAGCUUUGGUCUCUCUCUCCAUCAACUAUAGAAUCCAUUUUAAGUUUCUUGAAUUUCUUCUACGCUUUGCGGGGUUUCUUGUUUGGCCAGGGGAUUAUAUAUAAAGAAUUGUUCAUUCAAAACUAACAAGAGAAGCAUUCCAACCAUGUGUUUUCUACAGUAGUGCUACAGUAUUAAAUUACAAUUCUACAUUCACGGGACAAAUCUAGACAUUAAGUAAUUGACUUAGUAAUAAAAAUAUCACGAUCAAUUAGAUUCUUACAAAUUUCAGAUGCACACUUAGUUUUGCUACCAUUUAUUUGAAUGAAUUUAGUUCAACUUAUUUAACGAACAUCAUUUAUCUUUAAUUGUGUUUGCACAUCAACAUAACAAACUAUAUCUUUAUUUUAAAAAAAUUCAAAGUAAUCACCGAAGAAUAUUUAUUAAAAAAUUAUAUGUAUUAAAGACACGAAGACCAAAAUUAUUAUUUGAUUCUAACAUGUUUAGUAGUCCUUUAUUCACAGAUAAUUACAUUAUGCGAAAAGAGCUGUUCGUCCAUAAAAAUUUACGUACGGCUCAUUUUCCUUAGUGAAUUAGUAGUUGCUGGCAAUUAACAUGCAUGAAAAUCAUGUGUCUACUGGUUGUUAAUUUCAAAAAGUUAGGCCUGCAAUGCGAAAAGGACAGAAGAUGCCAUAAAAGUCUUUUUGGACCUGAAGGCAUUUGCAAUUACGUGAAGGUGUUAAACACAGAAGAAAUUCAAAAACAUUAAUUAAAUACGGCUUCUUAUGAUUCAGCGGAAAAUAUUGAUCACAAAGACCAGCUGGAGCUGAUAGUGCUCACCAUCAAUCAGCUGUUGAUGGGUAGUAACAACCUUUAAUUGCAAUCAGUGAUUGAAAUUAUGGGACUUUUGUCAUUUCAAUUGCAAUCCCAAAUGGGACCUAACCAUUGGCUGUAUUAUUAUCAUCGCUUGCCAAAUCCAAAAGCAAAGGGCUUAUUGAUUUCAAAGAAAAAGAAUUGUUUGUUCAGGCCAUAUUAGACCAUUUGCUUCGUUGUGUUGAUGGCUGUAUUUUAAGACCAACAAAAUUAUAUACAUAUAAAUGUAUAUUCUUUUAUAUAUAUAUAAAGAGAGAGAGAGAAAAAGAGCUUUUAAUGAGGGACUCCUCAUUUUAUUAAAAUGAGUAUCAAACUAAUAAAUAAGAAAAAUGCAUAUUCAGAAUGUUUUAUCUUAUAAUAUAUUAAAGUUUAUAUUUUUCUAUCUUUAACAGCUUAACAACAGAACAGUGGGUGGACCCAGUUAAAGCUUAAGAGGGGCUUCAGCCCUCUGAACCAUUAUUUUUUUUUAAGUCUGCCCUGAGCACCUUCUGAAUGAAUUAAAUAAAAAGCAUUUAGAAAUGUUUUUUAAAUAAUAAAACACUUGUAGUCCAAUGGUACAUGUGUUAUUUAGUGGUUUUAGAGACUUGAUUCGAAUCCCAAUAAUUUUUUGAAUGUGUGCGUGGUCCUCAAUUUUUUUCACGUGCAAUAUAAAAUUAAUUGAAGAAAAAAUAUUGGCCUGGUUAGAGGUAGGUUAUAGGUAGGUAGGGUUUAAAGAAAAGAGUAAAACUUUAUUUGCCGGACGCAAUUAGAAAACAUGGCUCCGAAACAUUUAUUGAAAACUAAUUUAAGAGAAAAUGUUGGCUUAUUUAGAAGUAGGUAACAAAUAAGUACGAUUUUAAGAAACAAGUAAUACUUUAUUUGCGGGAUCCGAUUAAAAUACAAGUGUGCAACCUAAGAAGGGGGUGAAUUGGUAUUUUAAAAAUUAUCCUAACAAAACCACACAACAAUCAAAUCUAACGCCUUAAUAAAUUCGAAAACAAUAAGUUCGAUAAAAGCACAAUAACAAAUGAGUAAGAGAGAAGAGAAACAAACACACGAAUUUUUACGUGGUUCGGCAAUCCCCGCCUACGUCCACGCCUCCAAGCAAUCCAAGCUUGAGGAUUUCACUAUCCAAGCCUUCCAAGGCUUCAAAAGUUUACAAUUGACUUCAAGGUGUCAAUGAACCUUUACAACAAAGAGAUUAUCUCUCAAUCUCUUCACUCAAGUGUCACGCACUUAAACACUCACAAUUAAGAUGAGGAAUUGAAUAUUACAAUAAAAACCUUCUUCAAGAGUAGAUAUACAAAUUGAAGAACAAAAGAUGAUUCAAGGUUUUAUGAUUUACGAAAUGAGAGCUCAAUGAACGUUGUGUGCUUUUUGAUUUUGCUUGCAAGAGUGCUUGAAAAUGAAUUGGAUUUGAGUUUAUAUAGUUUGAACUCAAAAACUAGCCGUUAUGCACAUUUUGGUGAUAACCGGCUUACCGUUCAUGGAAUUCGGUUAGCCGCUUUUAUGUUACCAUUAAGGCAAAAAUUUGAAUUUCAGAACAUCCGGCAUGCCGCUUUUCAUAUCCGGUUAGCCGCUUUCGAAAUCCGAAUAGCCGCUUGCAAAAUUCGGAUAGCCGCUUGCGAAAUCCGGAUAGUCGUUUAUGCUUCAAAAGCUUACUGCCCAAAAUCCGGAUUGCUGUUUACCAUAUCCGGUUAGCCGCUUGCUACAGUAACCAGUACAAUGCACUAUUUUCUAAAAUUAUAAUUUGACCCCAAAACUUUAUAAAACUGUAUUAUGGCACAAAACGUUAUAUUAUUUUGUAAAUAUGUCCAAUUUCAAAAUCUCUAAAUAAUGCUUGCUAUUCCCAAAACUUUUUGAAAUUAUGAUAUGGCCCAAAAUGUUAUGAAACUUUUUCAAUAAGUCCUUCUCCAAAAUUUCGAGCAAUACUUGUUGAUUUCAAAGUUUUCAAAACUCUUUCAAUUAAAUCAUAAACUUGAAAAACAACUAAUUUCAUAAAAUCAUUUUUCCAUUAAAUAUAAAAUCUUUAUAAUGUGAAAGUAAUGAUUUAUUUAAAAUAUAUAAAAAAUAAUUUGAGCUUAAAAUAUAAUCUUGUUUGUUAUCAUCAAAAUCAACAUUAUGGAAACAUAUAUGUUAACACCGAUUAGAAAACAUGGGUUUGAAACAUCUACUAAAAAGAGUAUUUUUGUAUAAAAAUUUGAGGAGUGUUAGCGACAAUCACCUAUCGUGACUAGUGUCUUGGUCCUCAAUUUUUCUUUUUCACGUUCAAUAUAAAAACUAAUUGAAAAGAAAAUGUUGGCCUAGUUAGAUGUAGGUAACAAGUAAGGUUCUAAAAAAAAGAGUAAUACUUUAUUUGCAGCACCCGAUUAGAAACACAUGCCGAAACAUAUAUUAAAAAGGCAUUUUUAUAUAAAAAUUUAAGGAGUGCUAGCAACAGUUGUCCUUAUAGAUGACUGAGACAAUUAUUACCAAGCCCUCUCAAAUUUAAGUGUUUGGUCCAGCCACCGAAGAGAACCCAUGUGUGAUUAUGUACUAUGGGUGCAUUGGUACAUUGUUAUUAUAUUGUAUGUUUUGUAUUAUUUUAAUGCAAACAUAUUGUAUUAUAUUGUAUUGUAUUAACACUGUAUUAUAUUAAUACUGUACAACAUUUAGUGCUAUAUUGUCCUAUAUUAAUUUUUAAUUAUACUAUGUUUGGUACUGCAUUGCAUUGCACUAUAGUUUUUUGGUUAUCAUAAAAAUUAUAUUUUUAGAAAAUAAAUAUUUACUUUUUGAUAACUUUGUCAAAAAUAUUUUAAUAAACUUUUUGAUGAUAUAUCUUUUGAAAUAAAAAUCCAAGUGAAUAAAAUAGAUAACUUAAAAAAUAUCCUAACAUAAAUAAAUAAUUAAAACAUAUAAGCUUUGUUAAAAGAAAAAAGACAUAAUAGAGAUAAUUAAUACAAAAGUUUGCACAUACUAUAACAUAGUCACAAAUAAAAGGAGUUGCAUUUUAAAAAAGGGUUGCUUUGUCUCAUAUAUCAAAUCAGGAUAAAUAAUUGUGCAUGGAUAGAGACAAACACAACUUUCACUCAAUCCUUAGAUAGGGUGUAUUCUUUCCCAACUAUCCAAAUGUUAGUUAAUUUGUGACCACUGCUCAUCCUCGCAAUCAAGAAUUUCUUCUAUUACCUGCCUAUGAAAAAAUGUUAUUAAAUGGACAACAAAAGAACCACAACAACAUCAUUUCUAAGCAAUGUACAAAACAAAUGGACUUAUGUACCAAGCUUGGCCUACCAUGCAUGUAUGUUAUGCAAAAUAUUGCACAAUAUGCAAAAAUGUGGUUGCAUGUGUGGAAAUUUAACCACAUAGGUAGAAUAGGUGCAAUUUUACUAAGUUGGACGAACAUGCCCCAUAAGCUAUCCAGAUGUAAUGGGAUGCUGAGAUGGGCGAUAGGAGAAUGCAAAAUGGAAGUUGAUGCCAAGCAGUUGUCAAUGUAGAGUUUAUGUCAACUCAGGAGUGCUUACAAGUUCCAAAGAUGAACCAACAUAAUUUUAGUUCUAAACACGUACUGAUGUUGAAAGAAACGUGUGAGAUGAAGUGCCUCGGGAUGCUGUAGAUGUAGUGGGAUCUCAAUCAAAUGCAUGAUUUUUUGGGAAAAAACCUUCUUACAAUAAGACCACUGAAAAACUUCGAUCAUAAUAUUAUCACCAUCAUUAUUUUCCCCAUUUGUGGAAUGUGAGAGUUGAUUAUGAGAAUUUUUUUUAUCUCUGUAUCAUGUGACUGAGAUGCUGGAACAACUUGAACCAUCUUUCAGAUACAACUCAAAGAUCAGAAAAUACAAACUGUUGAUGAAAAAAUUUGGUCGGCUAUUGUGUGAAUACGUGCCCAACCCAACACUUAAAUUGUUAUUGAGGAGAUGGUUUAACACUACAACUUUACUGAAUUAGUAGUUGUAGGCAAAUUAACAUGCAUGAAAACCCUGUGCGAACAGGGUGGAUAAAAAAGCCCAUCUGGCCUAAGCCCGCAAGCUUUUGGCCCAUCCUUCUACGCGAGGAAUUAGAUAAGAGCUUAAGAGAAAAUGUCCGGACUAGGUCCAUCACUCAAUUUUUUUUUACAAAAUAAAUUUAUAAAUUAGAAUAAUAUAUUAAAAUUAAAAAAAAAAAACUUAAAUUCUUAAUUCAUAAAUCAAUAACGAUUCACAAAAUCUAAAAUUAUAAUAUUAAACUCUCUCUUAAGCGUUAAUUACUUAAGAUGAUGUUUAAAUUAGAAAAUGCAGUAUUAAAAAAAUUAAAUUUUUAGCAUUUAUUUGCUUAGUUUUCUUCAUUUAUUAUUUUAUUUUAAAAUAUUUAAUUUCCUUAAUUCAUUGUUAAUUAUAACAACUUAUUAAUUAUUAACUCAUUUCAAAUUUACAACAAUUAAAAAAAUAAAAAAAUAAGUGAAAGUCUAAGUUUGGCCCUUAUGCUUCUACUAAAAUGGGCUUGGGCUCGGAAAAGCUCGGCCUAAGCCCACAUUUUGUCAUCCUUAUGUUCAUAUUAGGUAGGAUUGUCAACUUCAAAUUAUUAAUAUUAGGAGCUGCAAAAUAAAUAAACGAAUCGAAUUUGAAUCAACUUAAUAAACGAAUUGGGUCAAAAUUUGAUGGAUUCGAAUUCGAUUUAUUUAAUAAGUAAAUCGUAAUUUUAUAAUUUUAAUUUAAUUUGUUUAUUAAAUGAAUCAAAUAUUCAUUCACAAUUCAUUUAAUUCAUUUAUGCAGAAUUAUUAUUUUUGUCUUGUUGUUACAUCUUAUAAUUAUGAAUAAAAAUUUAAUGGUAAAUAAAUAAUUGAAUCAAACGGAUAAUAAAUGAAUAGAGUCAUAUUCGAUUGAUUUAUAAGCAGUUUAUUAAAAGAAUGAGUAAAUCAGUGAUCACAAACCCGAAUUCAAUUCGUUUAUUUAGCAAAUUGAAUCAAAUUCAUUUAUUUAUUAAACGAAUUAAUAUUUUAAAACUCAAAUCUAUUUAAUUGGACUCAAGUUGAAUCGAAUCGAAUAAAUAAAUCUUCGUCCAAAUUGCCACCCCUUAUUAAUAUGCCUACAAUACCAAAUGGACGGAAGAUGCCAUAAAAAUCUUUAUGGACUCUUAAAGCAUUUGCUAUCGACUGACAGUGUUAAACACAUAAGAAAUUCAAGAAAAUUAAUUAAACAUGGCUUCAUAUCAUUCAGCAGGAAAUACUGAUAAGCCAGACCCAGCUGGAGCUAAUGUACUGAUCACCCAUCAGCCAAUUGGUGAUGGGUACUAACAUGCUUUAAUUGCAAGCAGUGAUUGAGCGACUUCUGGCGUUUCAACUGGAACUUGGUUGGAUCUCGCUCGUGGCUUUGACCAAAAGCAAAGGGCUCGUGGACAUUAAACAAAAAGAAUUGUUUUUUCAGACCUUAACAGGCCAUUUGCUUCGUUGUGUUGUAGGCUCUGUUUCAAAGCCAGAGACAAAAUCAAUAAAUCAUGAGCAGUAAUAUAUACAUAUAUAUAUAUAUAUAUAUAUAUAUAUAUAUAUAUAUAUAUAUUGUCACGUAUAGAUAUCCGUGUUUUUAAAAAAAUGAAUUUAUUAUAGAAUAUAGUAAAUUCUUAUUUAAAAUAUGAAAACAUUCGCACUAUAUAUAUAUAUAUAUAUAUAUAUAUAGAGAGAGAGAGAGAGAGAGAGAGAGUCUCAUUUUCUAGCGAGAAUAUCUUCACUUUAUUAAAGUUAAGAUGUCACUAAAUAUAAAUUUUAAUACAUUAAAAACUUUAUUUUUUUUCUGUUACUAUAUUAAAAUUGAUAUUUUUUUUUAAUCUUUUUUUGACAUCCACACUUUAAUAAAGUGAGGAUGCCCUUGCAAUAUAUAUAUAAUCUUUUAACUUAAUUCCUGCAUUAAAAGCUAACUCUUGCAUAAUUACCCUAAAGAAUCAGCUUAACAGAAGUACCAAUUUGUGAUAGUGUACUAUGUGUCGUACGUUUAUGCUACUGGAGCCACAUUCAAUUGUGCUUGGUCCUCAAUUUUUUUCACGUUCAGUAUAAAAACUAAUUGAAGAGAAAUCUAGGCCUAGUUUUUUCUUUUUUGGUUAGAGGUAGGUAGGUUUUAGGAAAAGAGGUCCUCUUAAUAAUAUACAAUGCUGUAUGAGAUACAACGGAAGUUCAGUCUUUGUUUUUAAUAAAUUAUAAUUUUGAGUAUGUUUUAAAAUAUAUUUUUAUGUUGAGAGGGUUUUUGAUAGUCUCCUAAAUUAAAUGAAGUUUUUAAUAUUUAGUUAAAAGAUGAGGUAGCCACGUGAUAAUUACCUUGAUAUCUGCCAGUUAUGCGGCUAUACCAUUUGUUUCGGUGACCAUUUUAUGCCUAAAAUCAUCACCCAGCCGUUAUAUUAUUUUUUUAUUUUGACAUUAUAAAUCUAUAAAUAUUUUGUAAUAUAAAAAUGAGUGAAACCUCUUUGAUUUUUUUUUCGUUUUGGGAGUUUAUGUCUCUUUGAUCAAUUCUAUGAUGGUCCAGUACAGUCUACACAUAUAGACCAAUAACAUAUCAAUUUUUUUUCUCUAAGCAUUUAGAAGAAAUCAACUCCAAAAUGCACCAUAGAGGAAUUCAAAUUGUAUCCAUCAAUAUCGAUAUGAGAAUUAAAAUAGUUUAUCAUUCUAAAGCUCGGAUAGUUUUCAAACAAUAUAUUAUUUGAUAGUGCCAAGUAUCGUAAUUGUCCAUAAAAUAUUGUUGUUUUUAAUAUUAUUUGUACUAAUGACUCAUAAUUAAUAAUACGAUUUAAUUCUUGAUAUGGACAACUCUAAGGUAACAAUAUCUAAUUAAAAAUAUUUCAUACAAAUUUCUAUCAAGUUAAUCAAAUUUCUUUGAGUUGUUAUCGGAACUUAUACAUGAUUACAUGUAACUUUAAUACUUGAUGAUAUUGUUUUAUUACUAGUAUUAUGAUUGAUGAUACUAUAACUCUUAACAUCUAUUAUUAACUCUAUUAUUAACAUUGUUAAUAAGUAUAUUUGUUAGCGAGUACUAUUAUUAUUAUUUGUAAACAGAACACAUAUAUGAUAAUUUUAUCAGGCCUCCGAACUCGAACUCAAACUCAAACUCAAACUCAAAUUUUAUUUUAAUUUAACCAAAAAAAAAAAAACAACACCCUAGGUCUAAACUCACGACCUCUCUCAAAGCAGUAGACUCUACCCAUCGUCACCUUCAAGUUCCCAACGGAGCUUCCUUUCCUGGCCGCGUCCAAAAGACCAAGCUUUUCCAUCAACACCAAAACACCAAGUUUUACAAACUUUACCGUCAGUCUGUGUGCACUCCACUGAAAUUGUAUGGCACAUUGGCCACUGGGCAGAAGAAAACAUGUUAAGGAAAAAAAAAAUCUCGUAAGAACCAAGUAGCUAUAAGAUGCAAGAAAGCAUCAAAUGCAGCAUAUUAUUUAUUAGCAUACCUUUCAAUAUUCCUUUUAUUCACCUCUUGGUUAUUGGCACCGACAACACCUGGAUAUUCAAUAACACGAAGCACCGAAAACGCUUCUCCAACUCUUUCACCUUCAAAUUCAAAUGGUGAUUUGUUAGGACAAGAAAUCCUUUGGUGAAAACCAUCACCUAUAUCCAAGAAUGUUCAUGUUGUAUCACAAAAAAUCAAUAACAAAAUUAUGCGGAAGCGUACCUGAAUCCAUCACACUGAAUUACUCUUUAGCGUUGUGUGGUUGGUGUUCCAGAUCUACAUGUUCUCCUAGAGAAUCCUUUAAGUUUUCUCAAAGCUAUCUUUCUGACGAUGGGAUUUCAGAAAGAAUAUAAAAAUACGUGUGACUUGAGAACCAUAACUACUUAGAUAGACAAUAUUUUUUCUGUUGUCUCUAUAUAUUAAGACCCACAUCCUAUUAGAUAUAUUAAAGCCCAUAACAUCGAAAACUUAAAUAGAUCACUUUUAAUUGGGUUUAACCUUAUAUGACAGUCUGUAACACAUAAUUAUUCACAUAUAGGCCCAAUAUUGGAUUAAGGAUCCAACAAUAUUGGAUUAAAAAUCCAACAAUCUCUCACUUGUGCUAUAUGUGUAGCCUUAUAAUUAUUCUUUGCAAAAAUAACCAUAUGAGCUCAACCUUACUGUCAUUACCUAAAUGUAUCUAUAACCAAUCUGGUCUAUCAAUCAUACUAACAUAGGAUCAAAGCGACCUUCGUUACAAUUAUCGUAAGUGAGCAUGUAGUCUUUUAUUCUCUGUAAGUAUCGUAAGACUCGUUUGGCUGCUUUCCAAUGGUCUAUUUAUGGAUUACUUAAAUAUCUGCCUAAUAUCCCAAUAACAUACGUAAUAUCUGGUCACGUACAAACCUGAACAUACAUAAGACUUCUUACUGCUAACGCAUAAGGUAUCUUUUGCAUUUCUUUUUUCUCAAAAUCAUUCUUAGGGCACUGAUUGAGACUAAAUUUUUCUCCUUUAGCAAUAGGGGUAUUACUUAGUUUGCAAUCUUGCAUGCCAUAUCUCUUGAGAGCUGCUUCGAUAUAACUCUUUUGUGAUAAUCCUAGAAUACCGAAGGAGCGAUCCCGAUGUAUUUGUAUGCCUAAUACAAAAGAGGCGUCACCAAGAUCUUUCAUCUCUUAGUGUCGUGCAAUAAACCUAUAUCGCUGCUGGUAAGUAAAAUGUCAUCGACAUAUAAAACCAGAAAAAUAUAUUUGCUCCCAUAGAACUUAUGGUAUAUGCAAUCAUCGACUAAAUUCAUCUCAAAACCGAAUGAGAUGAUCACUUGACGAAACUAGAAAUACCAUUGUCAAGAUGCUUGUUUGAGCCCAUAGAUAGAUUUCUUAAGUUUACAAACCAUAUUCUUUGAGUCUCUAAACACAAAGUUUUUUUGCUACAUCAUAUAGAUCGUCUCAUCGAUGUCGCCAUUGAAAAAUGUUGUCUUUACAUCCAUAUGAUGUAACUCAAGAUCGAAAUGCACCACUAAUGCUAUUAUAAUCCUGAAAGAAUCUUUCGAAGAAACCAGAGAGAAAGUUUCUUUAUAGUCAAUGCCUUCUUUCUACGUAAAACCCUUUGCGAUAAAACGUGCCUUGUAUCUUUCUACAUUACCUUUCGAAUCCCUCUUGAUCUUAAAUAUCCAUUUGUAACCAAUAGGUUUCGCACUUUCUGCCAAUAGGACAAGAUUUCAUACGUCAUUAUCUUUCAUAGACUUCAUCUCCUCAUUCAUGGUAUCAAUCCACUUUUGAGAGUUAAAAAUUUUCAUGGCCUGACAGAAAUUGAUUGGAUCAUCUUCCAUUACUCCAACGCCUGCCUCAUGUUCUUAGAGAAAUAUAAUAUAGUCAUCUGUCAAUACACUUCUCUUUUCUCUAGUGGAUCUUCUUACUAGCAUAUGUUCUUGAAGUGGUAGAGUUUGUUUUUUUAGAACAACUUCUUAUAUAGGUGGUUCUCGAACAUUGUCUUGAUCUAUUGUAUCUUAAACAAAGUCAAGAAUGAGACCAUGAUCAAUGCCAAUAAAACUUAUAAGAAUAUUAAUAUAUUCAUCUUCAAAGACAAGGUCUUUUGCUGUCUCUCCCCUUGCAAACUUGACAUCCUCAAAGAAUCAAGCAUUUCCAGACUCAAAAAUCGACUUCGUCAUAGGAUCAUAAAACUUGUACCCCCUGGAUCGUUCUGAGUAUUCAAUAAAAUAACAACGUACCAUCCUUGAGUCCAGUUUCUUCUCAUUAGGCCUAUAAGGCCUUGCCUCAACUGGACAUCUCCAAACAUGCAAGUGCUUUAGACUAGGCUGAUUGUCUGUCCAAAGCUCGUAAGGGGUUUUGGCAGUUGCUUUAAUUAGAACUCUAUUAAGGAUAUAUGUUGCAGUCUCAAGCGCUUCUCCCCAAAGUGAUUCUAGUAAGGUAGAAUGACAAAUCAUACUCCUCACCAUGUUCUUAAGCACCUUGUUUCUUCUUUCAGCAACACCAUUCAUAAUGGCGAACCCGGCAUAGUGUACUAUGAGAUGAUACCGUAUUCCUCUAGGAAUUUAGCAAAUGGUCUUGGACGUUAUUCACUUGAACCAUCAUAUCUGUCAUAAUAUUCGCUACCACGAUCAGAUCUGAUGCUUUUGAUUUUUUGUCGAGUUAGUUCUUAACUUCAGCCUUAAAAAUUUUGAACAUAUCCAAGAACUAUGCCUUUUCAUGGAGGAGAUAUAUAUAACCAUAUAUAAAAAAAUCGUCUAUGAACGUCAUAAAAUAUCGUUGACCAUUCCAAGUAGCCGUAGGAAAUGGCCCACGAAUGUCUAUAUAUAUGAGUUCUAAGACAUUCGAAAUCUUGUUAGCUUCAAAUAUCCUUAUCUUUCUUCAUUUUCUUGCCCUUAGAGAUAGAGGCUAGGUAAGUGCUUUUUGCCUUAUCUUUUUUCAGCAUAUCCUCUUCCUAAACACAAUGUGAUAUAAGCUCAUCCAGAGACCAAGUCUCUUUCUGACAAUUAUAGCUCACCUUAAAUUAGUUAAACUGUGUUGGUAAGGAUAUUAAAAAAAAAUGCACUAGUAAGUCCUCAUAGAGCUUAAGUUUAAGUACUCUUAACUUAGAUCAAGAUGAGAUAUCUCCAUAAUGUACUCCUUGAUAUUGUCUUUACUCGUAUACCUCAUUGAAAUUAGGUUUGUCAAGAGUGUACCAAUUUCAGCCUUUUUGUUCUUGACAAACAUUUGUUCAAUUUAUGCAAGAAACUCUUUAGCAGUAGUUACUUUUUCAAUCAUUAAGCCCCUGAGUGCUUCUAGAAUGGUCUUCUUCAUAAUCAUGAUACACAUGCGAUUUGAUCUCUCUCACAUUUCCAUUUCCCUUUUAUCAGCAGGGGUACUCUCACCCGUAAGAGGUGGGGAGAAUCAACCCUUAACGCAAGGUCAAGAUCCAUGACUACAAGAACUAUUGAGAGGUUCUUGUGUCAUGAUUUGAAGUUAGAGCCAUUUAACAUAGCAAUGUAAUUGAUGAUGGCAGUAAUAUUAGUAGCAGACAUAAUUGAACAAAAAACAACAAACAAACAAAACAAGCUUAUAUUAGUCUUAAAACAAAAAUAAAUUCAAAUAAAGAUAAUCUCAAUCUUAAGAUAUUGGACACUCCAUUAAUAUUCAACUUGUAAGUGAUAUCUUGGUGUAGUAAUCAAACACUGAUAAUAAGAACAUGUCAAAAUAAUUAAUAUUCCUUUGGGCCGAUUUAUUGCUCAUAUGCAAAACUGAAUAAUCACACGUGUUUAUUACUAUAGGUGCACAUGUAAUUCUAUUAAAUAUGGACAUUCCUUAGAGCUGAUCGAUAUUUACAGAAAUUACAUAUACAAAAACGUUUAUAUUCCAAAAUAAAUUAAUUUUUAUAAGAGAUGUCACUUUGGCGACAUGUUGCUUCAAUUAAUUUAUCUCAAAAUAUAUAUAAACCUACCAAUAUUUGAAUUUAAAAUUGCACAAAAAUUACCCCAAAAAUUAAAAAAAUUCAGGUCAAAGUCAAAGUUUGACCAGUCGAUUAUCAAAUGUUGAUCGGUUUAUACCGCUGAUCGCUUUGAAUUGGACUCGUUCAAGUUAGACCGAACCGGACCAAACUAGUCCUAAAUCAGAAACCCUAAUUCGUUUUCCCUUCUUCUUCUUUGGCCACCGUCCCACUUUAACCUGCAGGCUGCGACUUAGUUGUCGCGACCUCUCUUUCCCGUCGCUAAGGGUGUUUGCGGAUUAGACAUCAAUCCAUAUCCGAUUCACGAUUUUACGGAUUAUAAAUUUUUAAUCCAAUCCAAUCUAUGGAUUAAUGAAAUUCAAUCCAAAUCAAUCCAUACGUCUGCGGAUCGGAUGCGGAUUUGACCCAAUCUAUAUCCAAUUCACUAUUUUGCGGAUUGGUUUACGGGCUAAAAAAUUUUACUCAUGUCCUAUCCACGAACUAACUAAAUAAAAAAAAUUAAUAUAAAAGUAAUUUUACUACCGAUCAUAUUCAAAAUUAAAUAAGAUUUAAAUUAAUUAAUUUUUUAAAUAAAGGUAGAAAAUACAUUCAAAGUUUUAAAAUAUAACACACCAAAAAGAAAAAAUUCUCAUUUGUUUAGAUCAGUACAUGAAAAUUAACUGCUAAGGAAGAUAUAUUUUUUUAUUUAAUUAUUUUUAUUUUAUAUUAUUAUUAGAUAAGACAUAAUAUGGUGUUAAUGUAACUAUCUUUUAACUUAUUUAUUUAGUAGUAAGAAUAAUGUUAUAUUUACAAGUUUAUAAUAUUUUUUAUUUUUUUGCGGAUUCGUGAAUUUUUGCGGAUUCACAGUAGUAAAUCCAUAUCCAAUCCACUGACAGCGGAUUUUCAAAUUUUAAUUCCAAUUCAAUCUACCAAUCCACGGAUCGAAAUUUUACGGAUUAGAUUUCUGCGGAUCAGACGGAUUGAGCGGAUCAAAUUGGAUUCUGAACUCCCCUACCCGUCGCAGCCUGAAGCCGCAGCGCAGCCGCCGGCUAAAACCUUGAAACAUUUUUUUUUUCCUUCAAUUCCCUUUCCCUUUAUACCGUGACUAGGGGUGGGCAAACGGUUCGGUUCUAUGAGCAAAAACAGAAUGGUUUUAAAAUCAAAGAACCGAUUGGUUAAACCGAACUGAACCAAAAAACCAAUCGGUUCCUUGAUUUAAUUAUAAAUAAUUUUUUUAAUUGAAAAAUAAAUGAAAAUAUAUAAACCAAAAACGAAAAAAUAAAUCACUCAAAAAUCAAAAUCUCAAAUCCCUAGUUGCGUUUCCCCAAUUUGCAACCCACGACCUCCCUCUCCUUUCCCACUCAUCUCCCACGCCUCCCUCCGUCGCCUCUCUGCUGUGCGUUUCUCCAUCUCUAGAUGGCGCAUAACUUCAGCUCAGCCCCUCUCGGUUUCUUCCUCGUAAGCGUCUCUCCCUCGCGUUAGCUCAGCCCCUCUCUUCCUUGUGUGCACAGCACCUAGCACAGCCCCUAUCUUCCUCGUGUGCACGGCUUCCUAGCACAACCCCUAUCUUCCUCGCGUGCACGGCUUCCUAGCACAACCCCUUAGUAGCGACACAACUCUUCCCCUCAAGCACGGUGACAGCCCCUCACACGUGGUGUUGCAGCCUAGCACAGCCCCUCACAUGCCGUGUUGCAGCCUAGCACAACCCCUCUCUUUGGUGCUGCAGCCUACAAGUGUUAUUUUAUUUUAAUUUAUGCCAUGGCCCGUACAUAGUGUGUAUAAUGUAUAUUGUUUAGUUUCUACUUGUGUUAGGGAUUGACUAUUUGUGGAUUGUUUAUGUAUACUUGUUGGUGGAGUUAAAAAUGGUGGGCAGAUAUAGUGGUUGUGGAGGCUUGUGAGUUGUGGCAGUGAACUAAAAUGGUUGUAACUUGUAAUGUUGUAUUGUAUAUUGCAGUCGGGAAUUGAACAAUUGAAAAUAGAUAAAUGUAUAAUGCUUCUAUCAAUGAAAAAAUUAGAAAUAAUAUUUGUUUUUUAACUUAUUUGGCAUAAUGAUUAAUGACUUAAUUAGCUUCAUGAGGUUGCAAUUUGAUAUUGGCAAUUUGGCAUGGAGAAUUCAAAUUAAAUUAAUAAGUAGUGGAAGUAUAUUAUGAUAUGUUGGCCUAAUUUGUUAAAUUAAAUUAUGAUUUGUUAGCUAGUAGUUAAUUGAACUUUAAUUGAUCUUUUUGGCGUGGAUGUUUUAAAUUAAAUUAACAAUUAUUGGGAGUAAAUUAUGAUAUGUUGGCUUAAUUUGUUAAAUUAAAUUAUGAUUGGCUAGUAGUUAAUUUAAAUUGAAUUGAUCUUUUUGGCAUGGAUGUUUUAAAUUAAAUCAACAAUUAUUGGAAGUAAAUUAUGAUAUGUUGGCUUAAUUUGUUAAAUUAAAUUAUGAUUUGUGGGCUAGUAGUUAAUUUAAAUUGAAUUGAUCUUUUUGGCAUGGAUGUUUUAAUCAAAUUAACAAUUAUUGGAAGUAAAUUAUGAUAUGUUGCCAUGUUGGCUUAAUUUGUUAAAUUAAAUUAAAUUAAAUUAUGAUAUGUUGGCCUAACUUAUUAAAUUAAAUUAUGAUAUGUUGGCUAGUAGUUAAAUUAAAUUUAAUUGAUCUUUUUUCAUUUCAAUAACUUGUUAAUAAAACAAUAUUACUUAUUUAUUUUUAUUUUAUUUAUUGUAGAUAUCUAAUUAUUCAAGAGUUCAAGAUAACCUCGAUUGUGUACCCGAUGAUCUUGAGUGUGAAGUUGAAGUUGAUGAUAGCGAAAAUGAUUUGCCAACAAUUGUCACUAGCGGAAACAAGAGGAAAAAGUCUUUGUCAUCCAAACCCCCACUACCAAGGAAAAAAAUGGCUCCAAGAUCAACAGUGUGGCAACAUUUCACUAGACUUACAGAUAAUGAUAAGAAGUGCAAAUGUAACUACUGCGAUAAUGAAUUUGAAUGUGGCUCAGUAGGGUACGAAACUGCUUUGAGGACUCAUUACCAAGAAACAUGUCAAAAGUACCAACGACCUUCAGAAAGACUAAACAACUUUAACUCAAAAUGUCGGUAGUGAUGAAAUUGUAGCAAGAGAUUUUAGCCAGGAUGCUUACAGACGAGCAACUGUGAAGAUGAUGUUCUUGAUUAAUUGCCUUUUUGUGUUGUGGAGAAUCCAGGUUUUAAGCAUUUUUGUUGUGUGGCGGCUCCUAGAUAUCUUCUUCCAUUAUGAAGAACCAUUACUAGGGAUACUCUUGAUAUGUAUGUUGAGGAAAAGGCUAAGUUGAAGAACUUAUUGGUUGGGAAUAAGCAGAGAGUAUCUUUGACCACUAAUAUUUAGACUUCCAUUACGACAGUUAGCUACAUGGUCAUCAUAGCUCACUUUAUUAACAAGGAUUUGAAUUUACAUAGAAAGAUUAUCAGCUUCAACACGGAUAAUGAUCAUUCAUCGGAGACAAUUGGUAAGCAAAUUGAAAAAUGUUUGAUUGACUGGGGCAUAGAGCGAGUAUUUACUAUAACGGUUGACAAUGCAAGUCCAAAUAAGGGUGCUCUUAGGUACUUAUAGCUUACUUAAUUCGUUGGUGUGGUAGGAUAAACUGGAGAUGGAAGCUAAGAAAUGAAAGAUGCUCGGAAAAAAUGAUAUUCUCACACAAUCUUUAGGAAAAGCUCCAAAAUGUGAUCAUAUGCAAGGAGUGGGCAAGUUUGUAACCACGUCUCUGUAUUUCCAAACUUGCCAGAGGCCUGCUGAUAGAAAUAGGCAAAGAGAGGACCGUUUAUGGAGGGAAUCAAUUAACCGGCAGUUGGAAGAAAUGAGAAAUGAACUGAGAAAAACACCUCGUCAUUCAGAUAUAGCAAGUUCUAGCUACCCUCGCAUGCCUGUUGAAAACAAAAUGCUGUCGGGGAUGAUGGCAUAGAGUUCGUUCAAGCUGAAGCAGUUGCUGAAACACCAAAGGUCAGUUUGUUUACUAUUUUUACUUAUUAUUUCUGGAUUUAUUUUGUUGCAAUUUUACUUCUUCUACUUAACUGUAUAUACUUGUUGCUGGAUAAGGGUUGUUGUAGUUACUGUUCUUACUUGUUGUUUGUGGAUUUAGUUUGUUGUAUGUUUACUAUUUAUACAUAUGUUUUUUCUGGAUUUUCUUUGAUACUGUUGACUACUUUGGAAGAUAAAUUUAGAGUAUUUAGAAAUUAUUUAUGCUAAUCACACUAAACAAUUAUGUUUGUAGCAGCUUGAUCAUUUGAAGAAAAAAAAAGAAGUAAGGGACACCUAAAAACACAGUAGAUAUGAACCUGCCAAUAGUAAACUGGAAGAAAGAGACAGGCAUAGCAAACAAAAACAAGGAUACACCUGCCAAAAAACUCUCUGUCAUUGCAAGAAAGAGUCCAAGAUUGAACCCAACUAAAAUCUCAGUGGAGAUGCCUGAUGAUUUGUUACAAGAAAAAAAAAAAAAACAGCAACCCUAAAUAUCAAGGCACAAAAAACAUUUGAACUUUGAGUCAGCAGAACAACAUAAUGAUAUAAUAGAGAUAGGACAUACAAAUGCUGUAAAACAGACCAAGGACGAGGGCAAAAAAGUUACAGUGAAGCCUUUGCCAGCAAUGAAGAACACAAGGCAUGCAGGAGGGGUACAACGAAACAAGAUUCUGUUGCUGCAGUUGUUUGGCACAAUGUGUGAAGCUAAGAUGUCAGACCAAGAUUGGAUUCCAUAUCUACUGGAUUAUGGUGUUUUCCAAUUGGAAGGGAUUAGAGCUCAUAUUGAGGGCGUGACUGCAGUGCAGUUUUGUCAAUGGAUGCUAUAAGAGUAAAUGUAAUCAAAGUCUAUAUUGCGUAAGUGAUUUAUAAUCAUUCUAGUUUUAUGUGUACUUUUUAUAGGAGUCCCAAUUAAUGGACUUUAAUAUUGUUUGUCUUUUGUUUAUCAGGAUGCUGUAUGCUUCCAUUCUCCCUGGGAAAAGAAGUUUAUCAUUGGGUGCUGGUCAUCUUUGAUGUGUUGAAAAAAGAAGUUUAUUAUCUCGAUUCUUAUGGGGGAGAUCUUGAUGAUGAUUUAAAAGAGCUCAUUAAAGUGUAUGUUCAAUUUUUUUUAUUACCAUUGUCAAUAUAAAAUUAUUUUUACAUAGUUUACAGAUACUUUGUUACAAUUUUUUUUUUUUUUGUAUACAACUCUAUGACAAUGUUUAUAGCACAAGAGGGUUAGGAGAAAUGGAAUUAUAAUAAGAUGGUCAGAUCUGUAAAGGUAUGAACUAUUACCUUAACUAUAAUUAUAUAUUACCAUGCUUAAUUGUUAUUAUAAUGAACUGUGCAACUGCUUAUUGUGAACAGGUCCCACAGCAACCAGCAAGUUCAGUCGUGUGUGGAUUUUACGUCAUGAGAUUCAUGAAAUACUUAAUUAAUGACUUCUCUUUACUAAUGAACAAUGUGAGUUCCUUGAUCAUAAUUUGCUUCAUAAAAAAGAACAUGUCAUGUGUCAAAGUUUCACUACAUAAUAUUUAUUUUUCAUAAACAGUUCAACGGAAAGACAACAUAUUCCGAUGCUGAAUUAGAUGAAGUCUAUAUUUAGUGGGCAAACCAUUUUUCUGGAGUACUUGUUGUUAUGUGAGGUAACCCUUACCUAUUAUGUUGUUAUUGUGAGUUCAUUGAUGAAAUAAAUUAAUUUACUAGCUAUAUUUUACUUGGGCAGUUAUCUAGCUUAUUAUACUUCUAUGUUGCAUUAUGAUGAAGAUGGUGGGUACUGCUGGAGUUGGCUAGUUUUUUUCUUUGUUUGGAAAAUAGCUCCUGGAUAUUGAUGCAAUUUUACACAUUUUGGUUGUUCUUAUGUUGGAUUUUCACGUUUGGGAACUGCUGGCCUUGUCUAAUCAGUAUUUUUUGCUUCCUCUUGUGUUGCUGGAAAUGAACUAUGUUGUUGCCUUUCUUCAUGUUGGUAGAAAUGACUCUGUUGUUGGCUUCCUUAUGCUAUUGGAAUUGAACUGAUCAUGGUUCAUUGGUGUUGUGCAUGUCGCUGGAAUUUAGUUUUUAUGUUGUUACAAUACUCUUCUUCUAUUUAUGUUGGACUUGUCACUCUCGAAUUUGAUUAAAUUAUGUUUGCUGACAAUUAUGAAUAAUUAGUCAAUGUUAUCCAUUUCAUUUUCUUUGUCAGUGAAUUUUUAAUUGCAAUAUUAAUUUUAAUAAUCUAAUUAAUUAGCUAAUUUAUGAAAUAUUAAUUUCUAAUAAAUCAAUUGCAGGAUUGUUAUUGGGGAAAUUAUCCACCGUCCACCCGUUUUUUCACCGUUUUUCAAAAAUACACAAUUCUUUUUUUUUUGUUUGCUGGAAUCCACAUGAAAUUACAUUUCUUUUCACUUUUCCACUUCCGUUUGGAGACCGUUAUAACUUUACUAACAUCAUAAGGGUAAAAUCAUCAUGUUACAACGACACAGUGGUGGAUAUGUGUAAAACAAUACAACUUCGAGUGGAGGUCAGCAAAACAAAAUUAAGAAUUGUGUAUUUUUGAAAAAAAAUACGAAAAAAACAAGUGGUCGAUGGAUAAAUUAUCUUUUACAUUUGAGGGUAAAAAGUCAUUUAAGAAAUAUUCUGUUAAUUUCCUUAACGGAUUCCAAACGGAAGUGGAAAAGUGAAAAGCAAUGUAACUUUAGGUGGAUUCCAGCAAAAAAAAAAAAAAAAGAAUUUCCUUUUUUGAAAAAGUUAGAAAAAACGGAUGGACGGUGGAUAAUUUCUCUUAUUAUUAAAAUAAUAAUAAUUUCAUGGUGCAAACAAAAUACCCAUUUUUUAUUAAUUAUAAUUUCAAUUUUUGAUUUAAUUGAAAAAAUUCAUUUAAUUAUAAUUUGCAUUUCGCGCCAAAUUUAAUUUUCCCGCCAAAAAUUCAAAAUAUGGCGCGCAAAUUUUAAAAAAGAGCCAAAUUCAAAUUUAUUAUAUUCCCCUCUAAAUAAAGUUAUGACAGUUAUGUGACUGGUAAUAUCUAUCACAGAUUAUGACUGGUAUUGUUCUGUCAUCAAUUCUUGACACUGGCAACAAUGACGGUAUGAACAACCGUCAUCCACCCCCUACUAUAAUAGUUUUUGCCGGUCAUAGUAGGCACUUUUUCUUGUAGUGUGGGGAUUAGGGUGUGAGUGGUAUGAGAAGUACAAAACUAAGGCCACCUCAUUAAGGAUUUGAGGAUUAUGUUUCCUGACCUAUUCCCCAUAAACUUAUCAAAAUUUAUUUCAUUUAGAAUGUGCCCUUUGGAGUCCCAAACCUAUAGAGAAUUUUUCCUCCCCUAGCAAGCUUAGUAUGAUGCUUACAUUACUCAAGAUUAACCUUUGAUUAUUCAUCACUAUGUCUAUUAUUACAUACAACCUCAUAUCUAUUAUGAGUGUAUACUAGAAACAUAAAAUGACAUAUUGACUCUUAUACGUACCUCACUGUAGUUGCUUAACGUCUAGUAACAGUAGCAAAAUGUACAUCAAUACAUCAGCUUCCACUGUUAUGAGUGUACAUUGUUUUUGCGAAACAAAAAAUAUUGGCUGCUCGGUGUGUAGAAUUCUUGCCAUUGGUGUAUAGAUUUCUUGUAAAAUAUUGGUUUGUGCUCAAUGUAUAUUUAUUUCUCAUUAGGCGGUUGGUGGAAAAAUUAUCAAAUCUCUUACUGAUAAAAUAAAUUUUUUACGUCUUUUAUUAUUUUACCCCUAAAAAUUUUAUUGAUCAAAAGUUGGUGGGUUUUUAAUGAUAUCAGGAAUAAUAUAAUAAAAGACACAAAAUUUUGAAAUUUAACAAUGUCUUUUUAACAUCUUAUGAUCUACAUUGUUUUAAAAAAGUAGGGGAAAUAAUUAUUUUUCUCAAACAAUAGGGAGAUUUUGAUCAUUUCUCUCAUUGCUAGUUGAGAUGCAAAUGGAGAGGACUAAAGAGUGUGUGUAUACAUGCUGCGAGCGCCUUUUUUUUUUUUAACACGGAAAAAAUGUUAAGCUGUGGAGUUUAAUAACAUUAAAAACUGACUCUAUUAAACCUCAUAUCUUAAAAGCCUAUCCGCAUAAAAAAAUAAUAAUAGGGUGUCUGCACUAGAAAAUGACUAUAUAUAUAUAUAUAUAUAUAUAUUCAAAUAUAGUUGUUAAAUUUUAAUUUUGUCAAGCAAACACAAUGUUUUUUUAAAAUUCUUUUCUUUCUCAGUAUAUAACAAGUUAUAUCACUACAAUAAAUAUUAUCUUUUACAACCAAUCAAAAAUGCUGCGAAAACACAAUUACAACAUUUAUAAAAAUAUCCUAACGAAGGAUGCAGUAAAUAACAUCAAACUUUUGUAGCCUUUUUCAACUGCAGUAAGAAACGCUGCAUAAAAUAAUAAUAACGGCAUUAUUAAAAUGCAGUUUUCUAGGCCAUUUGCUAUAAGAGUAAAUUGCUGCAAAAAUUAGUAAAUAAAUAUGGAAAUCUGCUGCCAGUAAAAUUGAUAACAGUUCAAUCAAUUGAAAAUAAUCUCCAUAAAAUCAUUUGAACUUGGCAGCCAUACAACAAAAAUUUAGUUGAAGAUUGUUAAAUCUCUACACUAAAUAUAAUACUCAAAGUGUAAACUGAAACUCUUGCCCAAGUUAAUGUUUUUUUUCCCUUGACUUGUAAGAUUCAAGUAUAUGUAUGAACAAAAUUAGAAACUAUAAGCCUACUCCAACAAGAUGUAGUUUUUUGGCCAAGCAAUUGUACUUCCAAUUGCAUCACUAAGAACAUGAAACUCAGAUGUAGCACAAUAUAAGGGAGUAUCUUCAACCAGUUCAAUUGUCACCCAAACUUUCCAGCAAUCUGGUCCAAGACAUAUAUGAUGUACUUUAGCAAGUGGAUCUCGUGAUGCAAUUGUUCCUUCCCUUACAACUUUUCCUGUUCCCAUCCAAUCUAUUAAUCUACAACAAGCAUUUUCAAUAUUUGUGAAAGUGCUUCCACAUGUUUUAGCUUUCUAUAAUAACAAAUAAAAAAUCUGAUUAGAGGCAAACAAUUAUAAUACGAAUAAAUUCAAAUGGUUUUUCCAAGCUCAAAAUUCUAAUCAUUUUUUUCAUAAAGAGAAUGGUUCUUUAUCAGCAACAACUCAAAAAUCUAUUCAUUUUAGUGUUAAACAGAGUUUUGAGGAUCAACAAUAAAUGAUGCAUAGCAUUUAUAAAAAUCAUAAAAAUCAUCACUUAGUUUCGCAUGUGAAAUGUCUUCCGAACAUUUCCUCUUGUGGCUUGUCUCAUUGUGAUCCUGAUAAUAUCAUAAAGAAAGAACAAUUCACGUAAGCAAAAUACUUUGUUUACGUAUUAUAUAAUUCAAAGCUAAUAGUAAAAUAUUAACUUACUAGUCGAAUGUCUCGAGAAUUUUUCAUCAUGCUAUCUAUGUCAAUUCGAUCCUAAAAAUAUAUGAAAAAACUAUUAUUAAUCAAGUAUUGCUUCUAACUAUAUUGAACAUAAAUUUUCUUAAUCAUAUUUAUUACCGCUUGUUUGCUAGUGUUCUUAAUGAAUGCAGCCUUGAGUUCCUCGAAUAGUUUUUUGAGAUCUUUUAGUUCCAUUUUAAUUUGUACAGUAUGAGACUUGCUAAGUGCUUCUAAAUUCAUCAAUGUUGGUGUAACUCCAGAUCCAAUUCCUCGUACACGCCUAUUACGUUCUUUUCCUAGCACAUGGGUCAGAGCAUCACCGUGAAUUGUUGAGGCAUCUUCACUCACUUGUGUCCUCUGAUAUUCAUUAAUUUUUUCUGAAUCCAUGGAGAAUUUUGAUUGUUAAUAGCAAAAAAAAAGAAUAAAGAACUAAAAAAUCAUAAAUGAAUUUAUCACCAGUUUUUCAGCAACAUCCUCAUUAAUUGCAGCCUGUCCUUCUUAGUAUGUGCACGAAUCCACACAUCAACUCUAGUUAUCGGUGAGUUUGGUCUCUCUUGCAUCUAAAAUAUGUAGUGGAGAACAUUUGAUUACUCAUCUAAUUUUUUGUUUAAUAAUAAAUAAACUUAAUGAUAUGAUUUUUCUAACAAUUUCAUGUCUUAAAUGAGCCAUCCCUUUUUCGACUUGUCCUAUGGAUAUUAGUUUGUUUUGAUCUCAUUUUUUUAAACCUCUUACUCUUCAACUAUAGUUAGAAGAUAUGUUAGAUUAAUGACAUUAUUCUUGUACAUUAAUAAGAAACUAUACUUGUACAUUAAUUGGGAAAGAAAGUUACUUUAAACAUUUGCCAUUGUUGCUCAGAUUUUAUGUUCCUUGGUUUCAAGCCUUUCAAUGCCUCAAGCUUUCUUGUUACAUCAUUGCUUUUAACCAAUGCUCUGAUUUUAUGUGUUAAAACUGAUUUGUAAUUCCUCCAGCUCCUACCCAUUGCACUCAUUAUAUAUCUUCUAUGACUUCCAUCAACAUUAAAUUAUUGCUGCAUUUAAAGGGAAAAAUAACAUUAAUAAUUAAAUUUGAUAAGUUAAAUAAUAUUUACCACAAAAGUAGGAUGCUACCUUAACACAAGUCCAAAGUCUUUCUCUUAAGUCUGAUUCCACUCUAUGCCAACUAUCCAAGGUCAAUGGUACCAUUUGUCAUACUAUACAACAAAUAAAAGAAGAUAGCCUAUUUGAAUUUCUACCAACGAGGUUAUUAUUGGUGCUUCGAAUCGAGAUAAGUGGAUUCAUGCAUAACGUUUAUUAUAUAUAUGUACGAAUUUAUGUAUGAAAAAAAUAAUGUUGUUCAUAAGGAUCGGCAUAUUUAUAGUUUUGAAGUAUUUUGUUGUUAUAGUUUAUAAUAAUGAUUUACAUUUUGGUUUAAAGUUUAUUUAAAAUGUUUUCUUAAAUUGUUUUUAAAAAAAUGGCUUUAAAUUACUUGUGUUCCAUAAAUUGUUUUUCCUUAAAAAUUAUAUAAUUUGUAAAGCUUUGCCAAUUAAAUGUCUUAUAAGAGAUUUAAUUGAAUGAUUGAUAUUGAAAGAUUGAAAAUUAUUUUAAGGUUUUGGCUCAUUGUCCUUAGUUACCAGUACUAAUAUGACUUAACAGUUAAUUGUAUUGUGCGCUCCUAUUGACGAUUAUUGCGGGGUAAAGUACCCUGAUUGAACUACCAACCGCCUCACUGGAAGUACAUGUGACACUAUGAGGCAUGAGCAAAAUUAAACAAAUGAAAGGUUUUAUUGACAAAUGAUUAUUUAUUGAAAAUGGUCAUUAUGCUAUGACAUUAUUGGUUAUAAAUUUUACUAUACAUAUGUAUUAGAUUAUAAAAUGAUUACUGAUUCAUGGCACUUAAUAAUAAUUAUUAUGUACUCCAUCCUUAUUAGUAACCUUAUGUAUGAGUUUACUUAUCAAGUUGACGACUCAUCCCUCGUCUCCAACAUUUUGCAGAGUGAUGUUAGAGAUGGUUUUUAAAGAAGAAGAUUUGUUAGCCGAAAGCUUUGGGCAUUUUCGUGAUGGAUAAAUUGUUGCUAUUUUGGUUAUUAUUUUAGAGUUGAAUUUGGUAUUGGAGGAUUAUUGUUAUAUUUAUUGUUUUAGAGACUAUGUUUCGACCUUGGACGCUAUUGAUUUUCUUUUGGGAAUAGUAAUAAGAAUUAAUUGUUUAGAGAUUGCAUUCUAAAUUUCUUUUAGAAUUCUUGGGAAAUUUUGGGGUGUUACAAAACUAUUGUUCAAGAUUGUUCCAAAGCUCACGAGAAAUUUUAAAGUUUACCAUAAGACUGAGAAUUUCCAAACUGAUAGAGGACAACAGCCAGCUCAGUAGCACUUGAUUCUUUCUCUUCUAGGUAGUGAAUGCCAGAUUUUCUUGUGUAACUUCAGCAGUGGAGUUGUUAGUUUCAUCAAGAAGAAACUGAUCUAGAUAGUGUUUAGAACUAUCAAGAAGAUCUUAAAGUCCAUUAGCACGAACUGAAGUGAGAGUUUGAGAUUUCCAGAUCAUGUAGUUUGAUAUAUCGAGCUUAACAAGUAAGGUAAAGGUAAAUGAGGAAAUAGAGGACACUGUGUUUAGAUUGGAGCUUGAAGUAGCCAUAAGAGCUUAUACAUCUAGCUUUGAUGCCAAGUUAAAGUUUGAGUUCUUCUCUGAUUAGUGAAAUGAGGGAAAAUUUAAAGAGUUGUGAAUUGAUUCAAUUAUCCUAACACUGCUUCAUUAAAAUCCACUUUUCCAACCACAGAUGCAACCAAUGAGAUACAUAACCAGUGAGCUAGAUGCAUAGAUUUGUAUGUUUUGGUGCAAUUCUUUGUUCUAAUGUAUAAAAAAUCGCCAUCACAUUUCAAUUGUUUUCUAUGAAGCUAAUGAAAUUUUUGUCUGUCAAAGUAACCAUGUCGUUUUCUUUAAUAAGUGGUGGCGGUGUGGUGGCAGCGCCUUGUGGUUGGCCAAGCAGUGAGUAUCUCCAAGGUUUAGAACGACCUUGACGUAAACUUGACUGGGGGAUGACAAAUUAUAAUAUUGUUGAGUAAGAGGUGUGAAGGUACUAAGGAUUUCGAUGAGAAGAAUAAAUUAAAGUAAGAGAAAUAGAAAUGAUUCUUCUCACUACAAGAAAAAUGGUAUUUUAUUACAAAAAAAUUCGUCAUUAAAGAUAACAAAUCAGUCAUCUUAUAUUUUUUAUGAUAAAAAAUAUAUCGUUACACGUUAGUCAUGGAAAGACUAUCUUUAAAACUUCUAGCGACCAGAAUUAUUUUCAUCAUAUUAAAGAUAUGAUUUUAUGACAAAAAUUAUUGUCUUAAAAUUAAGUUAAAAUUGUCACAAAUAGUAUUAAAAAUGAUCGAAUUAGAUAUUCAAAAAAGCAACUAAUGACACUUCAUAUUUGUCACAAUUGUUGAUUUAUAGUGACUAUAGUAUUUGUCUCAAGAGUAUGUAAAUAGAGUCUCAAUAAUUAUUAAAAAAAUGUCAUUUUAGAGGUUUGGAUAUACAAUUAGCAAUGCUAUUGUUAGAGUGCAAUUUACGCACUAGUUUUGCAUUGUUUACUUCCUUUAAUAUCGAUGUUUUGCACUUAAUAAUAGUGAUUUACUUGUGUUUUAUUUUUGUAGGUGCAAUUCUAUUGAUUGGUACUAAAAUUGAGCUACAAGAUGAUGUUUGAGGAUGAUUGUUUUCUUGGAGAAAUUACGAGCUUCAGAAGAACUUUGUUAAUAAGGCGUGGGCGCGUGCUGUCAACUACGGACGUGCAGUUUUUAGUUUAACGUGUUUUGUCUUUUUGGUUAUUUUUUGUAAUUACGAAUUUAAUAUUUAGAUAAUAUUUUAGAUAUUAGUAUUUUAUUUUGAAAAUAACUCUAGAAUUUAGGAGAGAGAAGAGAAUAUAAGGGAGGAAUCUAUUGUGAAAAGAUGAGAUUUUUAAAGAAAAAGAAAACCCUAGAUCUAAAUUUUUCUCCUCUCUAUGAAGAACUAAACCUAUUAUUCUGGUUGAAGGUUAAUAAAGCUUUGAUUUAUCAUUACUGUGAGAUCUUUCUUAUGCUUUAAUUGUUUUAUUAUUUUUUGGGUAUUUUUUUAUUCUCUAAAUUAUUGUCAUGAUUAUGUUUGUUAAUUAGAUAAUUGGCCACUAUUUAAUUAUCAACUUAAUCUAUUGUCAAUUAAAAGAUUCAGCGUAUAAAGAUUUUAAUGUUUGUGACAAAUAACAUAGCAGUGCGUUGUGUUAUGAGAAUAAACAAUCUAAUUUAAAUAAACCAUCGUAUGUGUUUGUUUAUUAGGAUUUGUGUCUCUCUGGUUUUUCAGGCUAUCAAUUGAUUAAAUCCUAUGAUCGUAUCUAGGGUUGUCUAUUGAUUAGGGAAAUAACCAAUGGUCAUACCUUGGUUAUCGACUAGUUAAUGAGAGAUUGGCUAUUAGAGGGUCUUAGUAGCUAUAACUGGUCUAUUCAUAAGUAGCAAUGAUUUAUAUUUGAAUCAAUGAUCAAUAGUCGAAUCAAGCUGAGUUAAUUCCUUCAACCAGAGCUUUUCCAAAUUUGAAUUUGCAGUCUUGUUAUUUUAGUUUGAUUUUUAUUAUUGUCAACAAUCCCCUCAUUUUGCAUUUUACAUUUUAAAAGGAUUUAAAUAAUUACCGAUCUCUGUGGACACGACCCUGCUCAAUCAGUAUACACAAUUUAUUUAGAGUAUGUAUUUAUUUUUGCUAGCUUCGACAACCAUCAGCUAUUUUUUUGUUGUUGAAGUUCACAUAUCGCGACGUUACAUAAUCGUCUCAAGUAGGUGUCAUUUGCGGCAAUAUACAAUUGGUAAUUAAUUUAGUCUCAAAUUUGUUAUAAAGGCGGUUUAUAUAGUCUCACAUAAAUUUUAAUAACAAUAUGUAGUUAUAGAAAUCAAAAUUUAAUGACAAAAGAACUUUAAAGUGAAAAAUAUUAUUAACAUAAAUAUAAUUCAUGACAAAGAAAUCUAAAAUCUAAAAUGAAAAAAAAAAAUUCAUGUCCAAAAAUAUGAUUACAUUGUAGAAGAAAAAUAAAAGUAACAUUACACAAAAGGAGAGAUAUGUAAACCAUAGUUGUUUCAUGAAUUCUUCAACUUCCUUAGAUUUGCUAUUUUCUUCCUUGAUUUUAAUUUUUGAUCCUCAUUUUGUUGAGUCAAUGUUGUGGUAGAUGAUGACUUUAAAGGUACCUGUCAUUUUAAAUCUUUACAAAAUUAAAGAUUUUCCCUAAAACUAUUUAGCAAAUUCAAUCAUAUAUUACUUCAAAAUAAUAAUAUAAUCAAAAGAUUACAAUCACAUAAUCAUCCUCGAUUCACUUGCACAAAUUUUACAUCCAAAACUCUUUAAAUUAAUCUAUCAAAUAGUUGGAGUCAAACUUGAACCAAAUUAAACUAUUAAGCAAUCAAUGAAUCAAUAUUUAUAAUAAAUAUAAAAUUGAAAGAAAUAAGAGAUUGAGUAAAUAAUAAUAAUAAUCACCAUCAUCAUCAUCCCCAUAAGAUAGCUUACACAUUUAGAUUUUGUAUGGAAACUACUUGAACCUUUUACGCUCACUUUAAUACAUCUUCUGAAACAAAGUAAUCUGGGAGAGACUCCAUACUUUUUUAUUACCCCAGUAUAAAAGAAGAUAAAUACAUUAAUUUUAAUUAAACAUACAACAACCACACUAGGGGAAAAAAACCAAGGCUUGUUGACCUUUAUUAGUUUAUUUAAUCACUUCAUAUAUGUUUCCUAGCAAAUUCAACAACAUUUUGAGCAAAUUGUACCAACCCAAGCUUCAACACCGCCCUUCGAACCAACAUAUCAAAGCUUCAUAAUAUUUUAUAGUUAAGAUUUUGUUCUAUAACUCUAACUUAUAAUUAUUGGUUGGACUUGAAUAACUUAUUAACUCUUUUCAUUUUAUUAAUACUAGCUAAAAUUUUCUUUAAAAAUUAAAGAAAGAUGAUUAAUUACAUACCAAGAUAAAGUGAACGAUAAUAGAAAUAUCCCAAUUUUCUAAAGUUCUUACGAAGAAAAUUUUUGGUUGUUUUGGUGUUUGGGGGGGGGGAAUCUAAUGUCAUCACACCUAAUUCCUAAAUCCACUGCCCAAAUUGAAAAGCAAAGUCAUCUUAAUAUCCUAAUUUUGCAAAAGUUUCUCAAAAACAACUAAACUUCGCUUCCAAUUUCCUUCAUUUAUUUUGUGUAUUUUAUGUUUUUCUUUUACUAGAUUAUAUUAGGAAUUUUAUCAAAAACUUGAUAAGCAUAAAAACAUUCAAAUAAUAGAUCCAAGAAUUUUAAUCUCUAAUUUCACCAAACACAUAAUCCAAUCACAACUAAACUAAUCAAAAUUAAAUUUGAUGAGUUCAUAAAUGAUACUUAAAAGUACUGGGAGAGAUGAGAGUGAAUUUUGUCGAGUGGCUUAUUUUGGCAUGCAUGAGUGGACUGGUGAGGGGUGGCGUCCUUCUGGGCGGCAGCAAAGGGCGUGGUUCUAAUGGCCCGCACGGUGGCUAAGGUAGAAUUAAGAUGUUGCCUCCCCGAAUUGAACGUAUCAAACAACAAACAAACAACAUAUUUUUUAAUUAAGGAAAAACAUAAAAGGGGAAACAAGACAAACCGAUGACAAAAAUCAAAUUUUUUACUCAAUAAACAACACCCAUAUAAGAAAAUUGAACCAAAAAUGAAAGGAAAAGUGAAAAAUUACCAUGAGUAGAAGACAAGACAAGAUAGGUAAAGACGACUAUUUGUUAAACUAAUCUUGAAAUAAUCAUUCACACACACCGGCAAUUGGAAGAGGGGGUGGGGGUUGGGAAGAUAACGUUGGGUAGUUUUGAACGUGAAGUGGCCACUUAAUGUGUCUCUGAAAAUUUAGGUUUUAUUUAAGUUUUAUUUUUUCUAAUAUAUAUCCAACUUAAAUAACUAUUAGAAGGUUCUUCUAAAAAUAAAAAAAGAAGCAAUUAUAAGAUUAUUAUCAAUGAUUUGAAAAAAAAAAAGUCAAUCAUCAUUUUUUAUUAAUCCAAGUUAAUUAUUUUUAGGCUAUUAUUUUAAUUUUUAUUAAUCUAGCAUUGUUAACCAAAAUUUGUAUGAAGUUAAACAGUAAUGUGUCUCUGAAAAAGAAAAAAUAUCAAUUAUUAUUCUCUUUUUUUUUGUUAGUGACGUAAUUUUCGUCAUAAAAAAAUUAAUCAGAUACUAAAUAAUUUGUCUCUGAAAAAAUGGUCAUGAAAUACAAUAUUACUCAAGACAAAAUUUUAGACUAUUAUUUUUUUAGUUUUGUUACGGUAAGUAAUUCUAUGACAAAAAAAAGGGUCUUAAAAUUAAUCAAAACCAUAUUAGUUUUGGAGACUAAUAUUUUUCUGUCACAAAUUAUUUGAUCAAUUUCACAUCUCUUCUUCAGUUACGAAAUAAUAAUGUCACCUAUAAUUAAAUUUUGCUACCGUAUUUUUUUGUCAUAAAAGAUGAUAUUUUGUCAGAAAAUGAUCAAUUUUGGAGGGAAUUUUUUAAGCAAAAAAAAAUGCAUGUCCUUUUGCGACUAAUUUUAUGUUUGUCGCAAAAUAUUUGAUUAGGUGACAAAUUACUGGGUCGUAAAAUAAAUAUUAUUGAUUACAAAAUAUAACAUAAGCCAAGAUGAGAUUAUUGGCUACGAUUUUAAAAAACAAUCGUCAUAAUAAAUACUAUUUUAUGACAAAAGCUGUAAAAGUCAUGGAAGAAGGCAUCUUAAAAAAUCAAAUUUCUUGUAGUGGCUAUUGACAGUUAGUUAUUGCUUUUUAUGAUAUUCAAAAAAGUGUUGAGAAAGAUUAUCAUGUUCUCUGGAGAUAAAAUCUAAGUAUUCGCCCUACUUCUUGCCUUUGAUAACAUGAAAUCUUGUAUGAAGUGAAUUGUUGCUUGAUAAAGUUAAGGAUACCAUCCGACAAUUAUAUGCUUACAAAAAAUAGUAUAAAAAAUAGCACACCAUCACUGAAAGAUAGAUAAAAUAACCAGAAAACAGUUUUUUUUUUUUUUUGUCUUUUGUACUUUUUGUACUAAAUUGUAUGAUAUUUUCAAUACAUGUAUCAUUAUUUUAUUAGGUUCAAACGUACGUUACGUUUAACGUAACGUACGUUUCACACACAGCAACAGUUUUUAUGGUGGGGUCCAUAACUGUUGCUGUGUGUGGCGUACGUUACGUUAAACGUAACAUAGCGCCAACCAUUUUAUUAUGUCUUGUUUACCGGUUUAGAGACCUAUGUGGCUUUUGUGUUUGAAUAUUAUGGUAUUUCUCAAAAGUCAAACCAGUCAAAUUGUACAAUUCUGAGAAAAAAAAAAUGAGUCUUCUAGGACCCCUUUUUUUUGUUUUGUUUUUCUUAACAAGAUAUAAAGUGAUCUUUAUUAUUUAUUUUUUUUGAAAUCAUGUGAUUUUUAGUUUGAUAUUAUGAUUUACUUUGUCUAAUUAACUGAGUUUAUUUAGAGAAGAAGACUUUUUUUUUUCUUUUUUUGCUUUUAGAAAAUAGAAAAAUAGAUUUGGUCUAUUAUACAAAUAGGAAGGCCUUACAUUGAUGUUUCUUUUUUAAAUACUAAUUAAUAUGUUGGUACAUGAGAUCUACUAAUAUUUAAAAUCACAAAUUUAUUGGGACUAACUUAGAUUAAUUCUCUAUUACAGUUUAGAUUCUAUUCCAACAUAAGGAUAUAUUUAUAAUAUAUCAUCUCUAUUUCGUUGUAUGGGUACAUAAGUGGGAUUUUUUUCUUUUGAAGUAGGCCCUUAGAACAUGUCAAACUCAAAUAAAAGGAAACUUGUGAUUACCUAAUUAUACAAAGAAGGAAUUUUAUACAAAGUUCAAAUCUUAUUUAAAAAGAAAAAAGAAAUUCAUCAAAUGUCAAAAUUAAUGAAAUUAGAAGAUUUCAAAUAUAAUAUAAAAUUGUAUUAAAUUAUUGAAUGCAGUGUAUUUUAUUAUGUAAUGUAUUGAAAUAGCUUGUUUAUCUCUUUAUUAAAGUAAGGAAUAACCUAAAAGAUAAGAAAUAUACUCUUUAACACACUAUAUAAUAAAAUAUACUGCAUUUGAAAUGUGUGUUUUUCUUAUCUUUUAUUUUAUCUUGUACUUUAAUAAUAAAAUAAAAAAACUCUUAUUAGAUAAUAAUUCUAUACAUACGGUCUUACAUACUACAGAUAGUAAAAGCUGCCACAAGUUUGACACGUAUAUGGUUAAAUUCUAUUGAUACACACAUACAAGAAAGAAACUUUAAGUUACGAUAAAAUGAAAAACUCCAAGAGCUUCUACUACAUGUUACCAUACGAUCGAUCGAGCUCCCUACUAAUUUCACAUGAUAUUCAAUAACAGACACAGCCAUUAAUUGAUUCCUGAUCAUCAUGACGUGCAGUUGGCCACAUCUUCACCAGUUUCCUCACAUACUAGUUCUACAGCUUUAACAGGCUCUCUCUGCCUGGAAAUUAAAUGAUCAAUAAUUGAUUGCUGUUCAUUUUCUUCCACUUUCCAUUUCUUUUGCUUCUGAACUCCACGGCUCUAGUACUUCCUGGAAAUGCACUUCACUAUGAACCGAAGGUUAUCUCACAAUCUUAUACAUCUCAGCCAGUGUCUCACAAUCCACUUUUGCAACCAGUGAAGCGCCUGUAACUUUCCAUGCUGAGGAGUGAAAAAUCACCUGCACACGUUGAUUGUUUUCAAUGAAGUUGGUGAAAUUUCUUUCUGUCAAAGCAACCACAUCCUUGUCAUUGAUGAGUUCUGGUGGCGGCAGCAUCGUGCGAUUGACAGAGCGGGGAGUGCUAAUAUAUCCGAUGGCUGGGUAAUACGUCGUCGUUUUGUUGCUUGGGCUCGAGGAAUGCCAGGUUUAGUACGGCUUUGGUGUAGAAUUGAUUUGGUACUGAUGGCAAAUUAUUGCAAUAUUUUUGAGAGAGAGGUGUGAAGGUUAAGAUUUUGCAGCGGAGAAGAAUUGAAAGUAUAAGAAGUAGAAAUGAUUUAGCCAUUGCCAUUGCUUUCUAAUUUCGGAUUAUCGUGUGAGCAAGAUGAUAUAUAGCCGGCUAAUGGACCUUGGAGAAUUUCUAAAAGAGUGGUGAUAUUGUACCAUUCAGAAAUUUUUUUGAUGAUAAAAUUAGUAAUCGCCCUAGUUCUUGCCUUUACAUAAUAAAACAUUUGCAUGAAACAUUUGAUAGAAUUAAUCAAAUUAAAAAAAAAAAGACAUUGUUAUCAAAGGGAGUAGACUUCAGAUUGGGAGUGGGCAGCAGGUCCUUAUUGGGAGUGAUCCUUGGUUGCCGGAUGCUGAAUGUGGUUAUAUAACCACGGAGCCGCACGAGGAGAUCAAAAUGGCGCCUGUUUGCAACUUGAUGGUUCCUGAGCAGCGACGGUGGGACUAUGAUGCUGUAACUGAUCUUUUCAAUGCAAGGGAUAGAGAAUUGAUCCUGAAAAUUCCCCUUAGCUCUCACCGGGACAGUGACUUAUGGCAUUGGCUGGCUGAACCUUGUGGCAAGUUCUCUGUUCGGAGUUGUUAUAAGUUGAUGACGUAUGAUGCUCAUAACUGUGCCUCUAGUGUGUGGAAGCGUUUAUGGAGGCUGGAUGUGUCGGGCAAAGUGAAAAACUUGAUGUGGCGUGCUGCUAAUAAUGUCCUGCCUACAGCUGAUAAUCUUCGGAGUCGCAAAGUCCAAGUGUCGCCCCUCUGCACUGUUUGCAAUGCCUCUAAUGAAUCUGUUCUGCAUACCUUGGUGGAUUGUGGCUUUGCAAAAUCUUGCUGGAUUGCCUCUCCGGUUGGUUAUACAGGUCAUCUCCCUUCCUUCCUAGCUUGGCUUGGCCAUAUUUUUUCCAGGUGCAGUAAAGAGGAGUGUAACCUUGCUGCCAUGAUUUGUUGGAAGCUUUGGACUCAUCGCAAUGACAAAGUCUGGAAUAAUAGAUGUGGGAGAGUUCACCAAAUUCUCAAUUCAGCUGAGCACAUGUUAUACCAGUGGCAAGUGUUGAGAAAGCAGGUCAUGCUUGCUGAUGCAGUUGCGAGCAGUGUGGUGCACGGGGCUGUGUGCUGGGAAAGGCCUCCCGUUGGAUGGGCUAAGUGUAAUGUGGAUGCUGCUGUGUUUCAUUCUCAAUCUUUGGUUAGUUAUGGCUGUGUGGUUCGAAAUUCAGAGGGCAUGUUUUUGGCUGCUAGCUGUGACAGAUUUCUGGGCAAGUUUGGGGCUAGAGAAGCUGAGGCUCUUGGUGUUCGGGAGGCACUUAGCUGGUUGAAGCAUCUGCACCUUCCUCGUGUGAUCAUUGAGAUGGAUUGUCUGCAAGUUUUUAAGGCUUUAUCUGAUAAGCAUUCUAAUCCUAAUGGUUUCGGCCUCAUUAUAGAGGAGUGUCGUUUUUUAUCGCAAAAUUUGAGAGAAGUGCAAUUCUCUUUUGUUCGUAGAUCUGCGAAUGCUGCUGCCCAUAGCGUUGCUAAGGUGGGAGGUUCGAAGUCAGAUUAUAGCGAGUGGAGGGGUGUUCCAUCUCGCUGGCUCUUAAAUCAUUUGUAAUCGCUUUUCUGUUUAUGAAUUUCUCUUCAAAAAAAAAAAAAAAGACAAAAUACUGACGAAAACAACAGUACUGAAAUAAUAAUAAUUUACUUAAUUAACACUGUGAAUGGGCAGUAAUACGUCAGUUCUGUCUCUUUAUCAUUUUCUAUAAAUUGAAGAAUAUUAUAUUCAUUUUAGACUAACCGGAACUUCAUGUGUCUAGUUUAUGAGACCCAUGUGGCUUUUGUCUUUGUGAUAAUAACACUGUACAAUUCUAAAAAGUUUGCAAUUUUAUAAUUUUUAAUUUCAUGUAUUUAAUACUUGAUUUUUCAGUUUGAUUGUGAUUCACUUUCUUGAAUUGAGUUAAUUUAGAGAAUAGCUUAAUCUAUGAUAGUGCGGAGAUUUAGUAAAAUUUUCCGUUCAGAUUUAGCCAUUGUGUCACCUUCUUUCAAUAGAUACAAAUCACCCAAAAGUUCUUGAUUUUGGUAGUUUGCGCUUUGUAUUGCAACGUACGGUGUGUUCAAUAUGAGAAAAAAUAUAUAUUAAACAUUUCUGUUGUUUUCUUGCAGUGCCACCUGAUGCUUGAUCUUUUUAGUCAUCAAAUUGAUGUUUAUCUGUUCAUUUGUAUCAACGAGUUAAGAUAAUUAACAGUUUUCUAGAUAUUUUGUACACAUAAAAUAAUGCCAUAAUUGAAUUUGCCCAUGGCCAUGCACAUACAAGUAGUCAAAGCAAAAGAAUCCACAUUCUAAUUUAAAAGAUCAAAUCUAAUGCCACGAAUAUAUAUAUAUAUAUAUAGUCAUAACUAAAAUUUCGUACUUAUGAUGUCUAAGUUACAGACAACAACAAUUGUUUUUGUGCCCAGCCACUUUUGUCGUAAUCAUUUUGUGGGAAAUGGAAAUUGGAUCAGAUACCCUAAAAUGCUUCUUUAAUAACCCUUCUUAUUUUCCAGUAGAGUUGUAUCUGACUGCUGGCUCCUUAACUUGUCUUCCAAGAAAUCCAAUGCAAAUGACUGCAUGAACAAGUAAAAAGCUCAUAUCACGACAGAAUCUUGAAUCUUCAUCUAUUAUUAUUCAGCAUUAGGAAAGAUAUACAUAUAAUAAUAAUGAAGGGGGAAAAAUAUGCACACCUUUAUAUUGCUUAGGGUCAAUUCACCAUUCAAUACAUACUUCUCGCCAUUGAAAAAGCCAUUGACAGCAAUUACCUGCAUUGAAAUUUGCAUAGCAACCCAAUUUUUCGUAUUUAAUUACGGAGGAAAUUAAAAAAAAAAAAAAAAAAAAAAAAAAAAAAAAAAGCAUUCAUAAAGAUUUAACAGAAUCUGAAGAUAAAGCAAGGAACUCACUCUUGGAGCGUGACCUGUGAUACCAAAAUAAUCAGAAAUUUGUCUCCUAUCAGUUUGCAACAAGUCCAUUUGAAAAUACACAAAGAGAAGCUGGCAAACAAUUAAUUUCAUCAAUUAUUAUUUAAGAUCCUAAUGAUAAUUAUUUUGACAGGCUAUUAAUUUCAGUGGGUUUCUGUUAACCAAGUUUCGACAAAAUUUUGCUUGAUCUCUCUACAUCUCUAUAUUUACCUUUCCUUUAAAAGCUUUGGCUGCCUCUUGAAAUAUUGAUUUAGUCUCAGAAUCAUGAACAGUCGCAAAAAGCCAUAACUGAGAACAAAUUUAUGAACUCGUUAAGACCUGAAAAUUUUUUAAUUUUUCCAAGGUAAAGAUGAUGUAAACUAAUAAUUACCUCUUGCAAGCGGGAAUCUAAAAUCAAUGCAGCAGUUUCCCUGGUGUAAGUAAUCAUCGGAGGAAUCUUAUUCAAUGAUAUGAAGUCAUAAAUUCUUGCAUCAGUAAAUGGACCAUCUGAGAAAAUGGAGCAAAAAAUGCACAAGGCUUGUGUAAAUUUUCCAUUUUGAAGCACUCAGAAUCAUUUGUAGAGAGAUAACUUCUAAUACUAACCAAAGUGGCUAAGCUGUUUAGAUUCCUUUUCCAGCAAGACUAGAGCAGGGCGUUUGAUUUCUGGGUCAAUCAGAAACAUCUUUGCAACAUCAGCUCUAGUAGUUUGAAAGAAUAUAACAUCAGGAUGCAGCUUUGAUGCGGCCGCAAGCUUUUCACUUUCCGUGCCCUAACAAACAGAAUUGAGUCUUUUGUAACAUUUAUGAUUCAAUAAGAGAUGUUAAAAUAGAAACAGUCUAAGAAAUUGCUCAUAUUAUGUGAGUGGGAGUGGACCUUUAAAGACUCAAGGAAUCCCAAAGCAAUUGUAGAUUCAGCUGUUAGUAAGUAAUCCGCUUUCUCUAUUUUCAUCAAGGUGUAAAGAUCACCAGACAUCUUAGUCUUUAUAUAAUUCACAAUAGCAUCCCUUCAAAACCAAAAUUUGUGUUAGAUUAGGUUAUUCAUUUUGCACACUUUCUCAACAACCAAACAGAUUUAGAAGGGUUUUAUUGAACAAAAAAAAAUCCAACAAAAGAAAACAAAUGUUCAAAGAACAAAAAGAAAACUCACUUCGUCCUGUUAUGAUAAUAAGUAUCCACAUGCACUCCAUUAACAAAGAAAUAAACAGUUGGGUAUGCUUGAAUUCUCCAUUUUUUCGCCAACUCUAUCACGCUCAUAGCAUUAACUUUUGCUAGCACUGAUUUGCCCUUCAGCUCAGUGGCAGCGGCUUCAUAUUCUGGAGCAAGUUUCUUGCUCUGGGGGGACCAUGGUGCAUAAAAAAGCACCAUCACAAGCUGAUUCUUGGCUAUAACAUGAUUAAAAUUCUUGUCACUUAGUUUCACCACCACAUCUUCUUUUUCAUCAAUUGCCGGUGGCAACUUGUGCUUUUGAUCAUUGAAACUGUUGUAAGAAUCUGAAAGUUCAACAGUGUUUCCGUAAGAGAUUGGAGGAAGUUUCUUGAAUACGGAAACACACAAUACAUAGCCUCCAUCAUAAUCUAUUUUGUAAACACAGAAAGGCGAAAGCCGAAAAAGAAUAAACAAAAGAAAUAUUGUGGUGGAGAGCAUAAGGAGAUAAGCUUUUGUUGACAUUGUUGAGCAGCCGGCCAAGAGUAGGUGUCUGUAAUUUGUACUUGAAAUCUUCAAAUAAUUGUUGGCUAAUGACAAGAGAAAAGUAAUUAAAUGCUCCUUGUGUUAAUUAUUUUCACAUAUGCAGACAAAAGGCUAAAAAUAUUUUUUUUUUAAAAGUUAUCUUGAUUUCUUUUCAGAAAUUACAUUAUUAACACAUUGUUGAUAGAAAGGAACCCUCUAGCCUGACAAAGCACAAUCGAUGAAGGCAAGAUCCACAUCUCUAUCUCAUAAAACCAGUGCUUCUGUGAACAUCACUAUGGAACAGUACUGUCACUGAAUCUUGAUCAUCUCUUAUUAUAAUCUUUAAAAAGCAUCUGCUUGGAAUUUGUAUUAGAAACUUUCUGUAUGUGAAUGGAAUACCUACAUUUGUUCACAAAUUUAAUUAACUUCUCCAAUUAUUUCUUUCUGGAUCAACUUCAGUAUUUUUGAGACGCAUGCAGAGUUACACAAAUUCACCACCAAUUGGAACAACAAUGUCGAAGACAUAUUGUUGCAAAUAUCACAUACUAACGGAAACUUGCUUCUCUUGCUUUCUCAUUUCAAUUGGGACUAGAGUGACAUUUCUUCUGAGUUAAAAAACGGGAAACAUCUCUGUGUGGCCCAAUCCAUAUCUUGUGGAAUCCUUUGAAGAACGAGCUGAAUCACACCAGGAGGAAGAUACAACUAGGCCCAACACAUAACCUGUUGCAAGCCCAUCGCGAAUGAGAAAAUCACCCAACUGGCUGAAGGAUUAUGUUGUUUGAGAAGCAGGAAGUUGUGGAUUUCUUUCUAGAAUCUUUUAUCCGUUUGAUAUUUUCUUUUGGCUUUACAAUUGCUAUUUUUUGUAACCACCUUCUGUUAGAGGUUGUUAGAGGUGAAGCAUAUAAGCAUUGUAAGGUUUAAAAAGCAAAGGAAUGAAAAUACUCAAUUCUCUUUCUUCUCUGGAAUUUUCUUUCUUCUUAAUCUUUGUUCUGCUCUUAAUUCUUUUUUAUUUGGAGCUGGCACUCGCUCGAAGAGUGUUUUGUUGAGUUGAUUUGCUUGUGUUGUAGGAUAAACAUAUCAUUGGUGCUUUCAUUGACUUUUCCAUGGCUGAUUCAGAGGUGUUGGCAGCAAUGAAGGCACUCCAAACACAAUUGGAAGGCCAAACAAUUGCGAUUCAUCAAAACUUGCAGCAGUAUCCACAGUAGAUUCGUCCCAUUGAUCACCUCCAUAUUCUCCAAAAGUCUCAACCAACUUGGCAUUGCAGUUCAUUAAAUUAUCUAAUCUUACAAUAACUUCUUGGAUUCUUCUUUUUAGGCUAACCGGAUCCUUCUCUCUUCUUAAGUUUGAACACCCUUUUUCUGGAAGCAUUUCUCGCUUCAACCAUUUAACCUCUUCACUUUUUCUCCGAAUAAUAAACUCGUGACUCUUUAUGAUCUUAGCAACAGAUUGACCAACACCCUCUUCUGAUUCUACUUCUUCAACCUUUGAGGAAAAAUUCGCACAACUGUCUCCUUCUGAUAAAGAUCUUCGCAGCCUCGGAGGAAUAUUCCUCUCAAUAUUAGUUUUGGUUGAAGAUUUUAAAUUCUCAUUCCCUUUUGCAGCUUUCAGUUGAGCCUCGUUCUGAUUGAUAAAGCUCUCAAGCUCAUUACGCAAGCACGUAACCUCCGUCAUCAAAUCUGACAAAUGCUCACUCAAGCUCAUGAAAACUUGCUUCUCUUGCUUCCUCAUUUCCAUCUCAAAGUUCUCCUUAAAAUCGUUAACAAAACCAUUAAUCAAUGUACAAAUUGCAUCCUUCUCAAUAGUCCACCUCCAUUGCUGCUCCUGGGGCCCCAGCUCAGACAAAAAAAUCGCAUUCUGCAUUUUCCCAAAAGCCUGAUGCAAAGUCUCUUUCAAAAUAUUAAUAUCAGAACCCAUCUGCUCAAUCUUUUUGUGAUCAAUACCGCCAUUCUUUUCCUCAUCAAUAACUUCAUGCUCGAUAUGCAAGACUUGUUGAUCAACUGAAUGUAUCAACUCAGAAAUUUCACUAUCUCUAUCCUCAUCCCGACUUCCAGGACUGCUCAUACUGAGCUCAGCGACACCAUCACUCUUUGUUCUUUCAAGCUCCACGUUAGCAUUUUGCAAAGCAACCAAUUCUUUUUCCUUCGCAUCUAAUGCUUGCCUAAGCUUCAACUCAUUUUCAAACCUCUCCGUCAAUUCCUUAUCCUUUUCGCGGAGAGCCAUUUCUGAAUCCUGAAGGCGACCCUGGAGACGGUCUUUAAUUUCUUCCAAGUCUGCCAGGACUUUUUCAUGGCAGCUUUCAAACAUGUUGUUGUCUGCAUCCUCCUGGACAAAUUUCAUGCACCCUUCUAGUUGAAUUACUGCAAGUUCAUAGAAUUUCGAUAUCUCAUUCAAGCGCUGAAUGACGCCAUCUUUGGACUUUACUUUGCCGUGUGCUCUGUCCAUUGCGUAGUGCACAAUCCACGUCAUUGUUGCAUCUGUUAAAGAAAUUCUUAGUGUGCCUUCAAGCAAUCCAAAAAGGCCAGCCAUUUUUUUUUUCUUUUUGUUUGGUUCAUCUAUUGAAAAUGAAGCAAUAGAAAUGUGAAUGAGAUCUUCUGUUUUAUGUUUCCUUGAAAAUUGGUGAUCUAAUUGACUUAUUCUAACUUGUUACUUGUUACACAUAUGUUGAAAAUGUGACCAGAAUUAUUCCUAUAUUUCAUUUAAAUACUAAUGCAUAUUACCAUAUAUGCAAAGAUAACAAGGAAUUGACAAUUUUAGGGAACUCACGUUAAUUUUUUACCUUUUUUUAAUAGAAUUUUUUAUCAUUAAAUCAAAAGGAUUUGUUGUAAAUUUGAAGGUUAUGAGACCUUUAUUACUUGAAAUGACUGGUUUGUCCUUCGUUUCCUUCGAGAGCCCGAAAAGUUCUAAACGUUCAACGCUCAAGCUAAUAUUUUUUUUUUGUUUUAACCACGAGGUAUCUUGAGGAGGGCCCCAACUAUGGGAGAUACUUUUAAGUCUGUACCAUAACCCAGACUAGAAGUUCCCGCUCGAAUCAAGAGGCACAAAUUCUCCCAACAAAAGUGAUUUUUCUGUAACUCAAACUGGGAAGCAAACUCAAUCAAACCACUUAACAGUGACUCCAUUGUCAGUAAAGCCAACACUUUGUUGGUAACGCUCAAGCCAAUAUAGACGGUUAGGAUGUCCUCCUCAAUUAAUUUGAGAGGAAAAUUACAGAUAAUAUGUAUGGUUUGAUGAAGGAGCAAAGGAACAUUAAAAAGGUGUAAUUAACAUUGCCAACGAACGUGCCCAACAUUAAUUUAUUAGUUGUUUCAAAUAAAGCAUCCACUUGGCAUACUAUAAUUGGUUGUUUCCUACAGCAGCCACUACAUAUCUCAUUAAGCGCCAGAAUCUAACUCAGCGGCAGGGCGCGAACCAUAACUGCCCUUGGCAGCGCGUGAAGCUCUUUCUCUCAGCCACUCCACCAUCUCUCCAGAAACCAACUCAACGUUCUGCUCAGGCUCACCAAUCAGCUGACGCCACGUGCCUAGAUAAAUCCUCAGCGUCUUAUCCUUACUGGCUACAUGUUUAUACAACUCUUCAACGCAGGCGGGAUCGCAAACGACGUCGUCUUCCUCUUGGGGCUCAUUGAGUACUUUUUAUACUCAAAUCCCUUGCAAAUCCCUCGACACGCGCAGCAACUCCAGCACGGUCGCCGCACGCGGCCUUGGCUCCGACCUCCUGGGGCUCGACAACGCCAGCUUCCUCUUCCACUCCUCCUUGAAGGAGACCAUCGGGAGAGAACCGUGGGUGGGACCCACGCGCCAGGAAGGCACCAGCCAUACGACUGUGAAGAGAAGGUGCUCGAAGGGCCAUGGAGGCUUGAAUUUCUGGCUAAUCCCGCACAUGGCCCCAUUCAAAAUCAAACCAUCCCACGCGCCCUUCUGACGGAGCGUGAAGUAAAGAGCUAUGGCCCCACCCAAGGACUCGGAAUACAAAAACGCGGGCAAAUCCGGUGCGUGUUUCAGAAUAGGGAUGGCAAAAUCCGGGUCCGGGUCCGGGUUCAGCCUUUCCGGAUUCGGACCCGGACGAAUAUUUUUAUGUACCGGACCCGGACAUAACCCGUAUUUUUUCACUCCGGGUCCGGUCCGGGUUCAACCCGAAAAAAUCCGGGUUUUCGAAUUGCGGGUUUCCAACUCAGAUUGAUGAAUCUAAUUUUAAAAAAAAAACUAAAUUCAACUGACAAAUGGAAAUACAAAUCUAGGAUUUCAGCAAAUUAAAUACAAAUUCAUGGCCUAAACUAACCAAAUACAAAUCAGCUUGGUUCGAAUCGAUUCGGCAUUCACGAACUUGAAGGAUUGGCAUCCGGUGAGACAACGAACGGUGAAGGCAAGCUCGCUACUUUUGAUUGUAUCGGAGCUAGUUAUUGUUCGUGACGGCGGCUGAUACAAGUGACAACGACGAUGAUUUGAUGAUGAACAACCGCGAAAGUUGGCAAGACGAGCUGAUGAUGAUGAUGAACAGCCGCGACGCGAAGGUGGGCAAGAGUCAGACGCCAAGACAAGCUGAUGAUGAUGAUGAUGAGCCGUGAAGGUGGGCAAGUGAGUGUGACGACGAUUUGAUUUGAUUUGAUGAAGACGAGUUGAAGAGGGAGAGGAAAUGUGUUGCUGCGGCUGUGAAUGAAUGAAGCCCUAGAGCACCUUUGGGUUCUUUUUUUUUCUAUUUAUAUUGAAAAUAUUUUUAAAAAAAUUAAUAUUAAAAUUAAUAAAUAUCCGGGUCCGGAUUCCGGACAUACGGGUUCGCCUAAAAUCGGAACCGGACCUGGACAUGUGCGGGUUUGUAAAAUGGGUUCCGGGUUCCGGAUUCCGCAUUUUUAUACAUCCAGUCCGGGUUGAACCCGGACCGGAUCAUCCGGGUUUAUCCGGGUCCGGAAAAAUUUGCCAUCCCUAUCUCAGAAUGACAUAUCACAUGUUAUAUUAAUUAUUUGGGAUGAAAUUUAAAAUAAAUAAAUUUAGUAUGCUUGCUUUUGCAUAAAACCUUUUUUUUUUUUUGUAGGGUUAUUUUGGAUCUAAUAAUUUAAUUUACAAAUAUACUUUUGUUUUAUCAAUAAUAACAUUUAAUUUGCAACUGCUGGGGAUCUCUACUCCCUAGUGUUGGCUCGAGGAGACCUUGGCAACAACCAUUGCAACGAAUAUAUGACAAGUUUUAUCGCGACAAUUACUUGCUAAUUGAUUUCUUUGCACUUGAUGUACAACACAUAUCAUAUUAUAUCAAUUUUAAAGCUAGUUACUGAGAAUUCUAACAUAAUCAAAUGCAUAUAGGAGCAAUUAAUUGACAAUCAACACACCAAUUAGAAAAGCUAAACAUGUGUAAGGAAUUUACUGAGUAUCAGUAACAUAGUAGAAAUAUGGUAAAGUUAUGGUGAGACAUCUGUGACAAAAAAAUAAGUCAAUAUUCAAUUAUUAAAUAUAAAUUAUCAAUAUAUUUGGUAUUGAGGUGUUGUGAUUAAAAAAAAUGAGAAAGUAUGGUAAUAUGUAAUAAUUUUAAAAGUUAUUAUGACUUUUUAUUGUAUAAAUAAAAUAAACUUAAUUUUUAGAUUAUAGUAGUAAGUAUUUAUUAAGCACAUUAGUGUUGGAAUUUAAAAGCUAUACUUUCCAAAAAUAAUUAAGCAGGGCUAAUACCUAAAACAAGUCUAACAGAAUUUUUUUUUAUUUCUAGAAAAUAAAAAAUGCAUGUGAUAUGUAAUUUGUGGGGAUUUGAAUUUACAGAAGCAGAGGAAACAAAAGAAUUUUAAAAAAGCGAAUUGCUUUAUGAAAUAAUUUUUCUGCAUCCUUUAUUCAAACAGCUUUAGGCUUUUUAUAAGAGCCAAUUGGAAACACGCAAUCUACGCUAGUAACUGCCCUUGGAACAACAAAAGACACCCUAGACAAUAACAGAUGAAAUACGAGAAAUAAUAGGAAAUAUGGGUAAUAAUAUUGCACACAUAGUUGAUAGACCACGUGUCAAGCACCCAUUUAUUUCAAAGCUCUUAUUAUUAAGUCCUAGACUCCUCGUCUCAAGCAUGGCUAUCAGGUACGUGGGAAGUUUGUCAAAUGCAUGGGUUCUUGCUCGUCUUUGGGAGACAUAUCAGCAUUCUUGGAAAGAGAUACACGCAAGACAAUCAACACAAGAUUUGCUUUAUUUCUAGGAUGCAUGGGCAUGCACUCUACUUAUAGAACUCCAUAACGCAGAGAUUACCAAUAGCAAGUUCACAACUGAUCCCACCAAAACCAGCGCCAGUAGCCAGGGUCAUGAAUUCAUGCCUUGUUCUCUCCUUUCCACCGGGACUAUGAAUCAUCAUAAGCACGUCAAAAUGGGAAUUUGAUUUUGAUUCAAUGCUUGUAUUAGGAACUUCUGGAAGCAUUGUCUCCACAACGAUUACCUUUCCAUCUUCUGGGAUGCUUUUGUAGCAAUUCUUCAACAACUUCAAGCAAUGUUCAUCAUUCCAAUCGUGCAGUACCCACUAUUUAAAAAUUCUCAUAUUAUUCAAACUAUUGUUUGUAAAAAUUUAAUUUAAGGAACUCCUCAUAAUAUGUCCGCAAAUUAAAUUAAAAACUUACCUUCAUAAAAAUGGCAUCACCUUUUGGAACACUUUGGAACAUAUCACCCGGUACAUGAUCAAUACCUGUAAAAUAUUAUACAAUUAAGAAAUCAGACAAUUAGAAUUAUGACACUCUAUUUUCAUUAGCAAGAUGUAUUACGUCAAGAACUGUUUGCUCAAACUUAAUUAUGCCAAUGUUAUGGAAGUUCCUGAUAUACAGGCACACACAACAGAUGUCCUCAUUUUUUUAAAUAUAAAUUUGGAGUUUUACAAGAUUUUCACAAUAGUAAACCACUGAAGAAUUAUACACACACACAUAUAUGAGAGCAGGUUCGAGGGAUAUUUUUUUAAUACAAUUUUACAUAUAAAUUUCUAACAAUUAGGUUAAAGUUUAUCACAUGGUUAAUAUUAAAACUGCAUGCAGUUUUAUAAUUCUAAAAAUUAAUUAACUAGACGCAAGUCCCUACGUCAAACAAUAAACAUGAAACACGACGCUCUUUCCUCUCUCUUAUCAUCUUAAUUUUAUUUAAACUAAGUAAUUUCAUUCAAAGAUUGAAAUUACACUUGAUUUCGGGAGGAAGAUCUUCCAAUCAAAUUACAGGCAACUUAAAAUGAAAAGCUGCCUUAGCUAACACGAGUAUGCGUGUUUCAGGCUCUUCGGAUGAACUGAAUUCUAAAUCAGCAUUGUCCUUAAUUUCCUCUUGAAUGUCGAACAACACUUAAAAGAUUUCCUUUGCUUGACAUCAUGUUUAGGACAUUCAUAUAUUUCUCUUUUUAACUUAUGUGCUCAUCUCCUUCAAUCCUCCCUCUACUCAUUAUAAAACAUUUUUUUUAUUCCGAUGGCUGUUGGAUGGAUGUUACUACUACAAAUUAAAAUAUAGUACUUCCCUAGUUCUCUGUAUGUUUACUUUAUAGUUAUCCAGUAAAUCGAAAUGUGAUUAGAUGACUAUGCUUUGUUAAUCUUUUAAAAAAUAUAUGUAGAAACGAUUGCCAACAUUUUUUUUCCAAUAUUUACAUUUGGUUUAAUAAACAAAUUUAUGUAGAUAACAUCUUUUUUUAUGGCUACAUGAAUGUGUACCUUAGUUCACUGGUAAUUUAGAGGGAGAAAUAAAGGGUAAUACAAAGGUGAGAGAAAAGUAUUUUACUUUUACUAUUAAAUUUAAUAAUAUGACACCUACGCGAAUUAAUUAGUUUUUUAAAAUAACAAAAUUACACGUGAGCUUUAAUAUUAAUCCUUGGAUGAACUCUAUUAGAAAGAAAUUUGUUUCUAAAAGUAUCUUUUUUAAACUUGCCCCCAAAAUAAGGAAUCUUCUAAAAAAAGAAAAAAGAAAACAAGCAUUCUGAGUAUUAUCCUUAGUUUAUCCUUUAUUUUAAUAAAGUAAGGAACCCUUAUAUAUAUAUAUAUAUAUAUAUAGAGAGAGAGAGAGAGAGAGAGAGAGAUAGAUAGAUAGUAAUGAUCUAAUCCAAAAUUUUGGGUUUUGUUAAAAACCGAAAAAAAUCAUAAUUUCAAAUCGUUCAAUAGUCCAUUAUACUAUUAAAUCAUAUGACUUACUAGAUUUUUUGGACUUUAACAAAAUUUGUGUCGCGAGAGAGAGUCCUUCUCUAGUAAGGAAAUCUUCACUUUUUUAAAAUGAGAAUGUUACUAAAAUACAAAAAAAAAAAAAAACACAUAUUUCAAUACAUUAGAAACUGUGUUUUUUUUAUUUAUUAGUAGCAUUCUCAAUUUAACAAAGUGAAACAUAUAUAUAUAUAUGUAUAUAUAGUCUUUCUCUAAGGUGGGUGCCCUUUUUUUUUUUUUUUUAAAUGAGGACACACUAUUAAACCGUGCGAUUUAACGGCGUUCUUCAUUGAUUCUAUUAAAUCGCACAGUACAACAAAGUGUUUGCACUAAAAAUAAAAUGAGGGUGCCCGCCCUAGCGAAUGACUAUAUAUAUAUUUAUGAGAGUUCUUGCACUUUAAUAAAGUGCAAGAAAAUUGUUACCGCAUAUGGUAUAAUAGUGUAAUGUCCCGACAAGUACUCGUAUAUAUAACAUGAGAUUAAUAACCAUACGUGGAUGUGGUGGGGCAUGGUCAAUAACAUGAGGCUGGUCGAAAUUGAUGCCCUUAAUAUAGGGGUACUUGGUAGUGAUGGCUUGAAGAGUAACGCCGAGACUGCCACCAACAUCGACCAGUUGCUUGAUGUUGUCGAAGCCCUUGUAAGAUUCAAGAAUGUUGCUCAUAACCAGGGAGGUAUAGUUAUACAUUGCUGCGUUAAAAUGUUUAUUGAACCUAGGGUCCAAUCCUGCGUACUCAAAUAUAUGCACUCCAUGGGCUCGAUUAAAUGGAAUUCCUCCUUCAAGAAUAGCAUCUUUGAGUUGGGACCUACAUAAAUUCCGAAAAAUCAAUUUAUCAUGCAUCGUCUAUAUAUAUGCUCCAUGCAUGCAUGCAUGGUCUAGCUGAUCAUUUACUGAGAAAAAGAGAGAAAUAGAAAUUAAUUAAUUACCAGCUCUCCAUAAUGACCUUGUCCUGAAUUAUUUGUAUUAGGGGGCCUAGUAAGACGCCAUCUUUGUUAGGCACAUAGUAUUUGGAGACAGAAUUCAAACUAUAUAGUCUCCGGGCACCAGAAGCAUCAAGUGAGCAUUCAACAACACUGUAGCUAGCCAGAAGCCUGAGAAUCCGAUCCAGCAUCAUGGGUGCGUCUUUGUUCUUGGUGAGCAACUGGGCUGCAAUAUCUGAAGCAGAGAGCUUUGCACCAGGACCAGCUUUGUCUAGGAUCUCGAAAAUGCCUAGCUCAUACACCGCUUGAAUGGCCAUGGGUAGCACUGUACCCAUCGCCAAUUGAUCAGCAUAUGCAAAGCUUUGGUCUCUUUCUCCAUCAACUAUAGAAUCCAUUUUAAGUUUCUUGAAUUUCUGCUACGCUUUGUGGGGUUUCUUGUUUGGCCAGGGGGUUAUAUAUAGACUUGUCAUUCAAAACUAUCAAGAG